rnacentral:lncRNA from 1 species
GGAGUAACCCAUUAUCUUCUGGGUGGCAUUGCCACAACAGGGGCAUUCUUCUUAGCAAGAACUAUUUCAGUAGGAUAAUGGCUAGGAGGAUUUGAAAGGCAUUAUGGCAUUAAGAUUUUCAAGGUUUAGCCAAGGUUUAGCUCAGGACCACACUACUCAUCGUAUUUGGUUGGAACCUGUUCUUUUCAUGACCCCUCUUAGUCUUUUUAAAAAUAAUAUAAAGUUAUCAUUAUUAUUAUUAUUAUAAUCAUAAUAAUGAUGAUAACUUUAUUUUUAUCCAAAGAGCUAAAUAUUUUAGUAAGGCCAUUAAAUACAUGAUAUAACAGCGCAUAGUAAGUAAGAUGCACUCAGCUGCUUAGGAUGAGCUUUGAUACAAAAAAGAAAUAUAGCUAUUAAUUCGAAUAUGAGACACCAACUGUUAAGGAAGCUUCCUCGGAUGAUUGCUUCUAUCGACCGUCCUUCUCUAUGUUGACUGGGGAAGCAUCUUAAUGUGCAACCUUACUUUGCUCAGCUAGUGCUACUCUUUCUUUUGGCCUGAUCUUGUAAAGAAAGGAAGGCUCAUGAAUGACCAAUCCCUGGAGGAACACUGAUUCUGCUUCUGUCUGGUCGUACUAGGUAUUGAAAAUAAGGUCUCACUACUGACUAUGGUAUUUACAUUUCAAUGGUUUCUAGUAUACUUAACAUAUACCUUCCAGCACUCAUAACCCAAUCCAAAAAAUUAUGUUAGGAAGAAUCAUGAUAUAUCGUCAACCAUCAACAACACUACUACACGUUAAAUUGAACCUGACAUAUACUACGAACUGAAUGAAUGAAGAUCACUCAGGAAACAACAGGAAACAUUAUAAUAAUACCUAUUAUUUAUAUAAGCAUGAUGAGACCUAAUUUUAGAACAUGUUUAUCUCACUUUCUUAAAGUUGAACAUAUAAUCAUCAUCCGACCUCCAAAGUUUGCAAUCCAAUUUGUAUUGUCUUCCUAUAAACCUAAUUGACUAGAACAGUUGAAUAAUCUUAUCUAAAUUUCCUCUAGAAGUCCAAUAUUUAUGUCUGGUAUCUCCAACUCGACAUCAUGCUCUGGUAUAGCAAAUAUGAACCUAAUCAAGCAGGGAAUCAUUUCAUUCCGCUAUUGAAACUAAUUUAUUACGAGAUGACCGUUGUGUUUGGGUGAUUAUUAUCAUAUAAAGUUUCUUUAUUUCUGCAUAUCCACGGGAGCCACGUGUCAUAUAGCUUGAAUAGAUUUUGUUUAUUUCUAAAUUCAGUUAUUACGAAAAGAAUUCAUCUCCCUGUUCGGUAAAAAUCUCUCAAUUUUACGUUUUUUUCAUUUCUAUCGUCUCUUGAAAGAUUAAGGGGCCAAAAUAAUGGUAUGCAAAGUAUAUGUCAGUGUCUGUGUCUGGGGCAUCCUUGCUUCUGUUCUUGCAUGAUAUUUGGUUGUAGAACAACAUGGAAAGAGGUAAGCUAGAAUAAAUUUAGUUCUUUUACAAAUCAAUCCAGAAAUAUAGGAAAGGAAAGUAGAAAUUAGUUAUUAGAAUAAUGCAACCAGAUAUUUCAUGUCAACUUGACUUAUAAUGCUACAGAAGAUGAAAAUAUUUUAUUAUAAUAUUAUGUGUUCAUUGAGCCAUCUCAAAAUUAGUAUAUUCAAGAUCGGCACAUAUAUCCAUACUGUGAACCGUUUCAAAGAGUGUGCUACUUACCCUUGCAUACUCUCCACUUUUCUAAAAUACUGAAAUGUCAAGUACUGCGUUUCUUUAAAUUAUUUAAAGUUAUAGUUAUAAGUAUUUUCAUUUAAUAGAACCUUUCCAUCAUGAGAGAUUUCUUUCAAUGAGUCUUCUACUGCUACAGAUGUUUAAAUCCCUUUCAUUGUAGUUCUCAAACAGAAUUAUUUGAUUCAGCUGCUCUCAUAAAUAAAGAUAAUCAUGCUCUUCUGUUACUUUUAGAUGACUUAAAUAUGCCAUUUCACUUAUUUUUCAUAUCACAAACGAAAUUUUAAUCUAUUUCUAAUUAUGCUUUGCCAUCAUGAAUAGACUUCAAACCCUUGGGCACCAACAAGUUCAGUGGCAUUGGCUGGAUAGCUUCAUAUUAAAAUUUUCUUACUCUCGCAUUUAAAAAUUUAGGAUUUAUUCCCACACUCUUUUAGAUACAACAUUGCAACUCAUCUAGUAUGGUAGUUCAAAGGCCUGACUAUUCGAUUGAAGGUAAUAAUUAGCAUAACCUAAUGUCAAUGGAAUUUGGUUCGUCGAUUUCAACUGACCUGAAUACAAUUAGGCCUGGUUUUACUUUUCGCAUAUACUGCAAAGUCUAGAUAAAAUAAUGAAGAAUAAAUAAGCCGCUACUGCCGACGUAGGUGCAUUAACCCACACUGAAUGACGUAGGGCUGCUGCUUAAUGGAUCUGCUACCCUCAUAUGCUCUCACUAUCGCCAUCAGGAGAUGUGUAGCCAUCAGUAUUCAUCUCAGGGUUCACGACUGGAUGGGAAACAAAAAAAUAUAUCCUUCCUAAUGCGGCAAUCAAGAAGUGCAUUCGCCUAUUGGACAUAAAAGAGUUUUUUACUAGCCCUCCGCAUUCUCAGGUCGAACUAGCUUCCAUCCGUGAGUCUUUUAAUCAACCAUCUGAAGAUAUCGCGGCCACCAACAUAUAGGAGAUGAUAAAUUUCGGCCACAUCAAUGUACAGGUGAUUUUCUUGUAUAUUGCAAAUAAUUUUUCUGGUAAGUUUUGAUUGUUCCACAGAUAAAUACGAAGAAAUUUUUGUUGGAGUUAAGAUUGAUGAUUAUACUGUGAGAAGAAAUACUGUAAUGGCCUGAGGGUAUUUGGGAAAUAUCUUGUAGGGUUCUCCCCAUAUUUAAAGGGUGAUAAUGGUAUCAAUGAAGCUCGAGUUAGUUUUAUGCCGUUUCUGCUCUAUCUUCUGUGAAAAGUAAACUUUUCUCUUUUCCAUCCCGCCCUUACCUUCCUCCUUUAAUUCUUAAUUUAUGGCAUGAUCUCCCUUAAAUCCUAGCAUCUGAAACUUAUUCGUCACGUUAAAACGAAAGUUGAAUAGAUAAGGUGCCGUCUGAGGAAGAUGGAAAGCGAGGUCCAGAAGGAUAAGGCUUCACCAAAAACACUUUCUUAGUCGUCUGCAACGAGGUAAAGUUCGAACAAAGUUUGGUGUGGCGGCAAGUUCAAUUAACCCCCAAAUGAGACUGACCAACCAUAGUCACAUUCGUUGGAGCAUAUUUCAAUUAAAGGCAUGCUCGAAAGUAGCUUGGCCAGAACAUCCGGAAAUUAUGCUCUGAACCGUUACCUGUCAUUAAAGUAGCUUGAUCAGAACAUCGAUCACUCGAAAUAUAUCUUCCUUUCAUCAACCCUAUCAAGACCAGAGCUUCUAGGAAUGAUUCAAACCAUUUCGAUGAUGUCUUGAUCAGUGCUCGUGGAAUGACUACCACAAACAAUUUACCUGUGCCGAUGGCCUCUAUUACAAGACAACACCGACUCAACACUCGCAUUCAGUUACAGAUAUAAACAUCUCUGUGGAAACUAAUUUGGAGUGGAGUCCUUGGGUAUUAUUUUAAAUUGGAAGCGGUAUGAAUCGUGUGGCACCAAAGGAUAAUGGAAACAGGGUCCGAAAACUUUCAUUGGUAGACUUGACUCUAGCAAUUUGUUGAUGAGUUCAGGAAGCCCACAAAGGAAACUAACCGACGCCAACUACGUUUCCCCUAGAAUAAGUCGUAGAAAACACUCGACAACAAACUAGCUCUGGAAACAAAAUUUCAGAACGAGAGGCGAUCCUGCAUUAACAUCUUGGUUUGCUGACAGAAUAACCAGAUUAAGGAUUAUUGUUUAGCUUUCCUUCGGCUUGGCCAUGCCCCUUUGUACGGCUGUAAAUGUAAUCGACAGGACGGUAAAAGCAUCUUCACAGUUCCACAUGCAUUUUCUCGUUAGUCCCGCAGUAGGAGACUCCCCACUCCGCUCCUUCAGAAGAAAUGGUUACCACCAGCAAAGCCGUGGCGGCUGCCGCACUCCUGUUGUUCGUUGCAGCUAUUGCCACUGCACCAAUGUUCUCUUGUUCUCUUGUCUGCCACUGCCAUUGCCAACAUCGAUUGCUUAUCCCCAUAAUAGUCAUCUAAAGACAAAAGUACUCUUGCCUGUCCAAUCUGUCUCAGAUGAAUGGGAAUGUAAAUAGGCCUUCUCAGCCGUAAAAUCAAGCUUUCUGUACUUAAUGCACAAUCUCCAUUCGUGACCUAUAAUGGACUCUUCUUCACCUUUUCAGUUUUUACAAAUGUGAACCUCAAUUUAUUAACACUCUAUUAUCUGAUUUUUAAUAGUCUAUUCUCAUGUAAUAAAUUAGUCUAGAUUUAUGUAGUUUUUGCAUAAUGUAGUCUAAAAUGUGUAUUAUUUAAAUAUGGAUUAGAUUUAUAUUUAUCGAGGAUUUAUAUCAUCUGUAUCUUCAAUGAUCAUUUAUUCUACAUUGUAAUUGAUCUGCCAAAAAAUUGAUGUUAAUUUAAGAACUCAAAUUUAACAUUUAUAAAAAUUAAAAAAAAUUAAAAUUUCGUUAAUUCUUGAGGUUUCAGGUCGAUUCUCAAGGAAAUCAGAAAGUUGAGGGAAUCAUUUCAAUGUAGAAAGUGUGAAAAACAAAUAGUUACCUGAUAGUAGUUUUUGUAAAUUAUGAACUAUGAAUGUAUCUAACUUUAAAAAUAAAAUACAUAAAAUAUAGAAAACGUCAUAUAUUUGAAUAUCUCUGAAAAAUAUCCCAUAAUUCUCCAUGUCAUUCACUGAACAACAAAAUUAGUGGAGGGUGAAAGUCAGAAUUUGGGAACAUAAAAAUAGAGCACAUGGUUGUUGUAAAAUCUAGAAGGCUAUACUAAACCCAUUCUAAAAUCACGAAAAAAUUAGAGAAGAUGGGAAACUAACUAUGCUAAGUUUUUCCAAAACAUGAGAUGACUUAUACUAGAGAGAUAGAGAAUGGAUGUGAGAGUGGUUUUCAGGCUAUGGAAGUCAACGGGCUCAUGGGUUGUUGUCAUAUCCACAUUGGAUAUAUGGAGAACUUAAUUAUAAAUAAUAAGAGAGCAUUUAAUAAGAUGGGUUGUUUAUUAUGAGAGAAUAAGAGGGCAUUUGAAAAAAGGAAGAAUUUCAUAUUAAAUAAUAUGAGACUUAUUUAUUUCUGGGGCUUUAUUUUCGGACCAUCCCAAUUGGAUGUUGCAGAACCGAUCACUUGAUGAAGAAGAUGGCUUCAAACUUAACUGGACUCAUCAGAGUAUGCUGAUUUUUUUCUUCUACAUUCAGAUUCUUAAAUGUGCAGACUCUGCCUCUUUCACCUCAAGUUGAGUUUGGGAAGGUAAGUCUUGGGACAGGCCAAUAAGCUCUGCAAAAGAAGGGGCUUGCCCCAUCUGUUCAAUCUGUCAAUAUUUCCUCGAUUUUGUUGAAUUGUUUAAAAAUUUUUGCGAUAGAACCCCCAGAAUUCACCACCAUAGCACUAUGGAUGAUAAGUAAUUGUGUCAGAAUUAACAUCAAUAAAUCGUAGCUGAACAUGUAGGCAGAGAAUCCCCGAAAAUCAAAGAUUGACGUCGUUGAAAAUCAUCACUCCAUGUCCAGAAAACAGGUGGGACUCUAUGAUUAUGCCUUGGAGCAAAUUUUUUUGUGCAUACUUCACUUGCAUCUUGUAUUUUCUAAAAUUUCUGGGGCUCCUCUAUUUUGCCUUCCAGCCUAGAGGAAGAAGAUGAUGAGGUCACAACACGGCCUUGUGACUGUCAGAAUUGCUUUGUUGAAUAGGCAAUCGACCUCUCCCCGUCAUGCAUUUGUGUCAAUAUGACGGGCAUUCGGCAUGCAAUUACGAUCAAAAUACUAACUAAAUUCUUCCGCUACACCUGCAUAAUAUUCAUAUUUCCUUAUUUGAAAUAUUCUAUUCAAAAGGUCCAUAAAAUCUUACUUUUAAUUAUAUAUUCAAUCUAUAAAUAACUGAUAAUUUAAGAUCAAAUAAUACUCGAUCCAAUUACCUUAAUAUUUUGCCGUGCAUGCAUUUGUUUUUAAUCAAGUAUUUGAUGGUUAUUUGAUUUAUUUUAUGGGUUCCCUCAAUAAGGGACACCAACGGCCUGCACCGACCGUGGAGCCAUGUCUAGUUAUGUGGGCGAAUCAGCCUUGAAAAUUCUAUACUAUGCAUUCGAAAUAAUCGUCAUUAUGCAUCUAUGACCUCACCUAACUCGACAUCUAGUUUUCCUCCCCCCUACAAUUUACAGACAUUAAUAUUGAUGUGCUGUCAUAUUUCUUUGAAGGAUGGGGGCGGCACUGUCGUCCAAAGGCUAUUUAUUUUGGCAAAAUCCAGAAUUGCCUGAUGUGAGGAUGGAUUAGAAACAGGUUACUCUCACAGAAGGUAGCAUAAAGUUUUUCUGUUUACAGAGUGAACAAGAUUUUUACUAGCCGGUACCUUACAAUUUCAGUUCAUGAUUUACUGGUUACUGGGCAGUAGCAACAAGCCAGCCAUGACCUCCACAGUUAUUGAUAUCAAUUCAAAUGAGAUGAAUUGGAUCUCGUUUAAAGAGUGAGAAGAGUCAUUGGAGCAGGCGGGAGAAUUGAGUUGAUGGCUCUGAGUUCGGCUGUCAUUAGCUAAAAUGGGGGUAUUUUAAUCUCUUUUUUAACCAUUGAUUUGAAAAAUAUGUUAUAUUAAAAUCAUAAAUAUUUUUUCUCAAUUUUAGGAUCAUAUAAUAUUGUAGGAAAUAAUAUUUGAAUGUUUCAUAUUGAAUAAUAGUGUGUAAUAUUUUUCUAUUUUCUCUUGACUUAUUUCAGUUUAAAAGAAAUUUAAUUGGUAUAAUUACUGGGCCUGAAUUUAAUUUGAAAUUUAUUUUAUUAUUGGGCCUAAUUUUAGUUGAAAUUGAUUAAUUUGGCCUAAAUUUAAGUUUAAAUGGUAUGAUAUUCCGGCUUGAAUUUAAGGUGAAUUUAUUUGAUUAUUGGGCCUUAUUUAAGACGUAUUGGAUCCAAGCUAACUGGGUCUCAUUAAAAAAAAUUAUUGAACAAUAACCUUCUUCUCGGGUCCAUAAUGAUCCGAAAAUUAAAGCGUCCGAAAUAAAUAAGUUUCGUAUAAUUUAAUAUUAAAUUCUCCCUCUUUUCAAAUGCUGUCUUAUUCUCGAAUAUUAAAUUACCCAUCUUAUUAAAUGCUCUCAUAUUCUUAUUAUUAAAUUUUCCCUCUUAUAUGGAGUGCGGAUAUAACAACUAUUCAUGCGCCGUUGACUGCCAUAUCCUGGAAACCAUUCUCGCGGCCUGUUCUCCAUCUUUCUACUAUAAGUCAUCUCAUGCUUCACAGGUUACGCGUAGAAGGAAAAAAAAUCAAUAUUAUUUGGAUGUAGCAGAACCGAUCACUUGAUGAAGAAGAUGGCUUCAAACUUAACUGGACUCAUCAGUGCAUGCUGAUUUGUUUCUUCUUCAUUUAGAUUCUUAUAUUUUCAGAUUCUUCCUCCCUCUUAUUCACAAGUUGAGUUUUGGAAACGAAAUAUUGGGCUGCCAAUAAGCUCAGCAAAGAGUGUGCGUGGUUAAAUAUUGGGAUAAUACAUGAAGGCGUCUCUCUUUUUGAACGGUGAUCUUGUCCCCGUUUUUAAUCACAGUAACGAGCAGAAAACCCUGUCUAAGAACUCAAAAACGUAUCUUUUGCCAUUAUACCUCUUUAAUAAUUUAUAUCAAACAAGAUCCUGACCUGAGUACUUGAGACUGUCAGCGGUUUGUCUUUUUGUGCGGGAAACAGGACGGUGAAUGACUAAAAUAACUGCACUUUAUCUUGAUUUAGGUUAAUAGUAGGCUGCAUGAACUGGUAGAUAAAGCUAAAGUGAACUCCUUGAAGAAAUCGACUGGGAGAAGAUGCUAAACACUGAGUUGCCUCGGAGUGAUGCGACAGCCUAUGGUUUAAAUUGUCAUUAAGCCAGCAAGUGCUUAAAGUGGUUGGGUAAAUUCUAUAACCCUCUCCAUCUUUCUCAUAUUCUUCCUAGUUUUCUUAUUUCGCAUAUUUAACAAUAAAAAGGCCUGGUUCUACCAUAUACAAAUGAGUUCGAUUCGAGUGUAUUGCAAGGGGCCAUGCUGCAAAAGCAUUACUAUGCUGGAAUGAAAGAUUAAUCAAUGCAACUUUUCGAAGAAGUUCACUUUAUUAUCCUUGUUUCAUCCAUGAGCAGAAGCCGUACUUUAAUUCAUAGCUCUAAACUUGUAGCCAUGUGCCAUUUGGAAGAAAGUGUGGCUUCUUGUACAGAGAUGCCAAAGCUUUGGAUGGUGCGUUAAUAGCUAUUCAGUACUAGAAGGUAGGGUACUACAAUCAUGAUUAAUCAAUCAUCAGAUCCACGAUCAUGGAAAAGGACUGCGAUCACAAUCACGAUUCGGGUCCUUGAUCGAUCAUUGAUCAAUCGAUGGAUCGAUGGCUACAGUGUAUUAAUGGUUACGAUUCACAUUGACGAGAGAGAUUAAAUCUCUCUCGCUCUUGUCUCUCACUCUUUCACUUCUGCCGCCUCUGUCCUCUUCUCGUCGGAGAGACCAACUUUACCACUGCCAGGUUCGCCACCACCCACUUCAUCACCGCCGCCUCUCCUUCUCCCUCUCCCCCUCUCUCUCCUCUCUCUCUCUCUCUCUCUCUCUCUCNNNNNNNNNNNNNNNNNNNNNNNNNNNNNNNNNNNNNNNNNNNNNNNNNNNNNNNNNNNNNNNNNNNNNNNNNNNNNNNNNNNNNNNNNNNNNNNNNNNNNNNNNNNNNNNNNNNNNNNNNNNNNNNNNNNNNNNNNNNNNNNNNNNNNNNNNNNNNNNNNNNNNNNNNNNNNNNNNNNNNNNNNNNNNNNNNNNNNNNNNNNNNNNNNNNNNNNNNNNNNNNNNNNNNNNNNNNNNNNNNNNNNNNNNNNNNNNNNNNNNNNNNNNNNNNNNNNNNNNNNNNNNNNNNNNNNNNNNNNNNNNNNNNNNNNNNNNNNNNNNNNNNNNNNNNNNNNNNNNNNNNNNNNNNNNNNNNNNNNNNNNNNNNNNNNNNNNNNNNNNNNNNNNNNNNNNNNNNNNNNNNNNNNNNNNNNNNNNNNNNNNNNNNNNNNNNNNNNNNNNNNNNNNNNNNNNNNNNNNNNNNNNNNNNNNNNNNNNNNNNNNNNNNNNNNNNNNNNNNNNNNNNNNNNNNNNNNNNNNNNNNNNNNNNNNNNNNNNNNNNNNNNNNNNNNNNNNNNNNNNNNNNNNNNNNNNNNNNNNNNNNNNNNNNNNNNNNNNNNNNNNNNNNNNNNNNNNNNNNNNNNNNNNNNNNNNNNNNNNNNNNNNNNNNNNNNNNNNNNNNNNNNNNNNNNNNNNNNNNNNNNNNNNNNNNNNNNNNNNNNNNNNNNNNNNNNNNNNNNNNNNNNNNNNNNNNNNNNNNNNNNNNNNNNNNNNNNNNNNNNNNNNNNNNAUAUAUAAUAUUUAGGCACUUGAUCACCUGACCAUAUAAUAUAAUAAUAUUAUAUGAUGACAACCAAUAUAAAUAUAAUAAUAUUAAAUGGCCGAUCAUGAUCGAUUGGAUUGUCGAUCACGACGAUCGAUGAUUAUGAUCAGCGAUUUCGGCUGUUCGGAUCAUUAUUUCAUAGGAUUUAUUUAUGGGGGCCUGUUAGUACACGAUCAGAGCACUAACUGGAAGCCUGUUCAGUAGACACCUCACUGCAAACAUAACAUGCGGAUGCAACACCUGGCAUCCCUGCGGAAGGGGAUAUUGGCGCCUCUGCAGUUGAACUCCUCGUACUUGAAGAAGUAGCCUUUGUAGUACCUGGGGCCCAUGUUGUACCACACACCACAUCGCCCACAAAAGGGUUGCCUGCAGCCCCUCGUCUGGUAAAUCAUGAGGGAGCUGGCUGACGCUGGGGCAAUGGCGACGGCUGUGAUGAGCAACAGCAGAACGGCAGCUGCCAUGGCGCCAGGGGUCUUGCUGGCCGUGGCCAUAUCCUUCACGGGGUCACGGCAGGACUCACGAAUCUGAGGUUUGGGGCAUGUCAAGGGGGGUUGCUCGUCGAGUGGUGAUGAGCUGCUGUCCUUCGGGGCCCAUUCCCUGCUCUUUAUAGAAGGUACAUGCAUCCUCGCAUGUGUCCACGGAUUUCGCCAUUAAGGGUAGACGUCAAUCUGCGCAUAUAAGUCAAUGGUGGAUUGUUACCUCCCACCCAGGCUCUUCGGGUUCAUCUUGUCUGGGGGAGUGGAUUUGCGCCGAUAGCACAAGGUUAAGUGUGAACGCGUGAACUGGGGAAUCAAUUGACGGAUCACUAGAUAAACAGUGUGUUGGAGAUAAGCUUGACGGUUACUGGGGAUUUCUGUAACGAUAGAGCGUUACAAUGUAACGCCUCCAUUGAAGCCUAUAAAUAGGCAUGUAACCCUUGAGUUGGGUGUGGAAUCAAGAGAGUUGCAUUUGAAUUGUUCCCCUUUUCUGAUUUCUCCGCCCAUCAGGGUGGCGGGCUCCUCCUGUCACCCUGCCCCUUUCUCUCUUUCCCCUUCUUGAUUCCUACACGGUGAACUCAUGGGAGGGCUCUCCCCUAUAAAUGGGGAGGGGAUUUGAGCGUGGAGAGAGGAAGUGUGGCCUUCCUCCUCCUCGAGCGUCACUUAUAACGUACUCUGAGUGAGAGAAUACAUUACAUAUUGGUGUAGAAAAGUUUUCCGCAGCGUGAAUAGGCUGGUUGGCGCAGUCAUGGCCGGUCUGGAUGAGAAUCGAGGAGAGUUUGAUGUUCACCCCGAGACAUUGUUCCCGGAUGUUGUGGGACAUGAGCGGCAAGUUGUUACCCAAGUCUAUCACUGUAUCAUUCACACCUACAAUGUACUAUGAUGCUAUUCGCAGUGUAGAAGAGUUGUAGUACCGUGGACUCACGUCUGACUCAGAAGAUGCCAUCCACACAUACUGGUAAAGUUGAGAUCUUUUGCUCCUUAGGGCCUUAGUGGGCACAAUUCCCAGAAGAUUGUUAUUGACGGGGAAGAAAUCCUAACAUUUGAUCAACGGGAAGCCAGAAAAUUCAAUGGAAGGAAUUUUAUUCACAGGCUGUCCUCAGAUUGGCCGCUAUUGGGCUCGACAUUGGUUUUUUCUGAUUGCAGAUUUUCGCUUAAGCAGCAGUGACUAUGAAUUCUCUUUUGAAAGUCUAAGCCAUCCGAUGAAAUGAAUUGUAAAUAUAAGUUAAGUGUAACAAUAAAUCUCUACUUACUCAUCCAGCAUGGCCUUUGCUGGUGAAAUGUCCCAGAAAGAUGAAAAAUGGAAGUUAGCAUUAAAGUUAGUUCUCUCAGGAUUCAAUCCAAAACUACAGGUAGUGAAAUAAGAAAUAAAGAGAUCAGCAUAAUGCAGUUAUUUAUGUAACCAAGGUCCUGCGGUAUCUUGUGUCAUAAAGCUUUAGAAGUUGACUUGCCUGAAAAUAGUAUGUUUCCUUUGCUUACUCAUCUCAAUUUUGUUUCAAAUAUACAUAAAAUGCAUAUUUUUAACUUAUGCUGAAUAAAAUAAACCAAAACUUUCUUUUAAAAGUGAAACAUUAGACAGUUAACUACUUCAUCUUCUUUGUUAACAUUAACCUCUAAAAUGUGAAAUUGUAAGAUAAAUUUGCUAAAGACAUUCAUUUGCUCCAAAGGACUUGUGUCUUCAGACAUGCACAAGCUAUAUAAUUUACUUUUCAAAAUAUUUUUUUACUAGAUACUUCAUGAUCCUUUUGUUAUGGCAUGGAUCUUCAAAAACAAUCUCAUUCUUAUUGCUUGAAUGGAGGGAACAGUUUUGGAUGUCAAAUGUUGAUGUCCUUAGUUUUGACAAUAACAUAUGACAAUUUAUUAGAAAAUUAUUUAUUCUGAGUUUUAAUCAAAAAAAUAUGAUACCAUGUCUUUAUUUAUAUCUUCUAGCUAUAUAUUCAAAUAUAUGAUCAUGUUAAUCACAUAUUGAUUUCUUCAUCCAAUUCUUUUGGUUUUUGCUUUAACAUUUAAAUCAAAGGUUUCAGCCUUGGGAUUAAGUUAUAUUUCUGUCAUAAGAAUAGUAAAAAAUCAGCAGUCACCAAUUGAAGAAAGAUGUACAAACUGCAUGUUCUAUGUGACAGAUUAAGUAUAUGUCACAUAGGGUCAUAAGACAAGUGUUCAUACAUAACGUAUCACAUGAUCUAUGCAUCAACACAUGGGAAAAGAAUAUUCUAUCCUCAUUAUACUUCUAAUUAACUAAUCGUAAUGGUCCUGUAUUUAUAUGUUCUAUGUAAUUUAAAUAUAAUGUCAGACAUGUUUUCUAAGUUAUUAUGAGCAUCUAAUCAAUAAGAGAGACAAAAUAUAUCAAAGAUUUUAAUUUCAAAAGUUUAUCUUGAUGGUGACGUGUUAAAUAAGUGUGGAAAAAAAGGUCAAAUCAAAUCAAAUCAUUAGAAUUCAACAUGAAUUCCAACUUUCCUAUGAUCAAGUUAAAAGAUUAUAAUUUAAUUGUAACCUUAAAAGAUCAUAAUAAAUGAGAAAGUGAAAAAAUAGAAACUGGAUAUUAUAAUAAAUGAUAAGUAUAUAAAAAGUUAAAUUGAAUAUUGAAGAUUCAAAAAAAAUUUGAAAGUCAGUGCAUGAUGAAAAUAAACGUAUAUGAGAGAUAUAUAUGCCAAAAAAUAGGUAAUUCACUCAAAGACAUAGUACUAUCUAUCAAGACCUUCAUGUUGCAGCUUCAUUGACAAAAAAAUUGCAACAUCCUUAUCUGCUUGAUCUAGCAAUAAAAUAUUUAUGCAAAUAGGAUUAAAAUUUUCAGCUAAGUCUUGAAGUAGUAGAGUAUUAAUGAAAGAAUGAUUUUGACGAAGCCAAACAAUGAUUGUAGCCUCAUUUAGGUCAAGAGGAACUGAUGGAGAUGGACUGAUAUGUUGAAAGCUCUCUAUGGAGAGAAACAAAAGAGCUUUGGACAACUGAUCUUGUUCACUUUAGUUUGUAUUAUUAGGAGGAAUAAUUAGAUUCAUGGAUACUUGUCUUGAUUACAAGAAGUGACUAGGUGUAAGCUGAACAAUUUAAAACAUUAUACCCUUAGGAAAUAAAUGCUGAAAGGUAUUACUAUUAGAAAUAGCCCUUCAUGUGUAUGUUAAUAUGUAUAACUAAUCUAUUUACACAUAUAUCACUUGUGUUAAUAGAUAAAUCAUUCGUUUUAAUUGAAAUAAUUGAUAUCAAAACUAAAUUUAAAUGACAUAAUAAAAUAUUGAGCAUAUUUAAAGAUUAGUGAAUUAUUUAAUCAAUAGAAUCAUAUACCAUAUGUUUGAUGAAAUAAACUGUGCAUUUCGACGAAAUAGAUGCAUGAUGUGACCCUAAGUCAUUAUUAAAAUCAUCAUUAAAUUUUAAUAAUUUAUAAAACUAGAUUCACCAAAAAAAUUAUAUUAAAUAGAUAUAGUGGUGAGCUAGGUCAUCUCUUGAGGGAAAGUUUUUAAAACUCUUUUUAUUCUCUAAUUUAAGGGCUUAUGAAAUUGAUUUGAAGAUCUAAAUUGAUAUUCAAUGUAAUAAAAUAAAUAAAAUGUUAAAUAAAUAUAGAUACGAAUUUGAAACUUAAAGAAAAUAGAAAAAUAAAUGAAAUAUGUUUUAGAAUGAUUAAAAUGGAAAAGAAUCAAGUAAAUAAAUGAUUAAGGCUAAGAAAAUAAAUUUAUUUCACAAAUCAAACAAGAAAAUAAUAAAAAAUAUAUUAAAAAUCAAACUUAUAACCUUUAGAAUACAUGGCUUGAAGUUGACCUCUAGAUAGUGCUUGUCAAUCUUGCAUCCAGCUCAACAGAAUAAAUUAAAGAUUAGAAGGGUAGAAGAGAAUGAUCAAAAAUCAAUAGUGUAUUCCUUAGAAUUCUAUUUUCACAUAAAAAAAGAAUAAUCUUUUUUCUCAAGAACAACUCGAAAAAGGAUCCAUUUCUCUCUUUUCUUCUUCAUUUUUGUUCCCUAGAUCCGUAAAUAGUAUUUUUUGUUUAAACUUCAUAUUUUUUAUUGUAUUUUUUCAAUUUUUCUCCAACUUUUAUAAUAUUUUCCCUUUUUCUCAUUCGGCAAUAAUUGAUAUUAUCUAUUUUAGGAUACUGCGAUCAUGAUCGAUCAAUCGUUGGAUCGACGAUCAUGAUUAAUUGAUCGACAAUCAUGAUCAUAGAAAAUGACCACAAUCACGAGCAAGAUCUGGGUCUUUCAUUGAUUAUUGAUCGAUCAGUGGAUCAAUGGCUACAAUUUACUAUUUGUUGGAUGGUGACUUUUCAUCAUCCAACGGUUAUGAUUCACAUCAUGAGAGAGAGAUUAAAUCUCUCUCUCUCUCUCUCUCUCUCUCUCUCUCUCUCUCUCUCUCUCUCUCUCUCUCUCUCUCUCUCUACUACUACUACUACUACUACUACUNNNNNNNNNNNNNNNNNNNNNNNNNNNNNNNNNNNNNNNNNNNNNNNNNNNNNNNNNNNNNNNNNNNNNNNNNNNNNNNNNNNNNNNNNNNNNNNNNNNNNNNNNNNNNNNNNNNNNNNNNNNNNNNNNNNNNNNNNNNNNNNNNNNNNNNNNNNNNNNNNNNNNNNNNNNNNNNNNNNNNNNNNNNNNNNNNNNNNNNNNNNNNNNNNNNNNNNNNNNNNNNNNNUCCUCACCUCUCUCUCUCUCUCUCUUGUCCCUCCUCUCUCUCCACCUCUCUCUCUCUCUCCCCUAUCUCUCUAUCUCUCUCCCUCUCUCUCAUUAACAAAGUUCAUAAAUAUUAGCUGAUCAUGAUCGUUGCUUCUAGUGCUAAAGAUGUGGCUGCUUCUAGUGCGUUAGAUUUGAUAGUGGUUGCCGUUAGAUCUAACACUACUUUUUAUGUGAUGGUGGGUGGUGACAUGGCAUAUUCCUGUGCGUCAUAUAUAAUUGUCACCACUAUUGGAUUGAUAGUUCCUUUUUGUACAAUGAUGGGUGGUGACAUGGCGGCUUCUAGAUCAUCAGAUCUAGCCACUAUUGUGGCUCUACCAUUGGAUCUGAAAUAGUUAGAAGAUGUGGUUUAAUCUCAUAUCAGAAGUUUAGUGUAUAUAGAGUAAUAUAUAUUAACCGAUGCCCUUGACUCAUCGCAAGUGCCUCUAGAAGGGAUGAUCUGGAUUGAGACCCAGCCCCUAGUAGGCCAGAAAGGUGAUCUAUUUGGCUCAAACCCAUGAUCUAGAUCUGUGACUCGAUUUACACAAGUCACAAGGUAGUGCACCCUUUGGGCCUACUCCUAGAUAUAGUGUGGCUUCCAGCCCAUGUUGGGCUUGUUAAGUGGUGUGCCUCUAGCCUGCUAAUAGUGAAACCAUUUUUUUUAUUAUUUUUAUUUAUUUAUUUUAAUACCUAAAAAUUUCAGAAAAAUUAUAUAAAAUAUAUUUAAUUAAUCAUAAAAUUUAGCAUAAUAGAAUUUUAUUUAAAAAUGAUAAUUAAGCUUCAGCAUACCUCAUCCUCAUGCUCACUAAUGAUGGUUCUUGUAGCCAACAUUGUUCUAUGAUGCUCAACCAAUUCUUCAUAAAUAGUUUGAAUUUUUUUACAUUUAGAUAAUCCAUUUUUAGGAGAUUGAUAACUCUUUUGACCUCUCUCAUUCAUAUAUUUAGUUUUGUCGGUUUUCAUGAAAUGACGUAGAAAUUUCACAAUUUUUUGUUGUAUUUUUGCCGAAGUUAUAACAUUUCUUCAAAAUAUAAAUAGCCAAUAUUAGGUUAUAUGCUUCAAAACGAAUGAGAAAAAGAUUAAUCUAAGAGCAUCAUCAAAAAAAAUUUAGAUUUUGAUGAUAGAUCAAAUUUUGACAAAUUCAUGAAUGUGCUUGGAGGUAUCUUCAUUAGCGUUUCUAGAUGAAGAUGUGAGCAUAUGAAUAGUUCUUAAUUUGAUUUCAUAUUGGACAACUUGAUUUGGGGGAUGUGGUUACAAGAUGAAGGUUGGUAUUUAUUUGGAAUAAAUAAUCCUUCAUCUUUGUAUGGUAUUCCACUCCACCUUCAUAAUCCAUUUCCUCUAUUGUGUUUUGAGCCCUAAUAUGAAGAAUUAUCUCAACUUCAGGAAUUAGUUAUAAUAGAAUUGGGUUGAGAGAUGAGCUACCAAGCACACACUAGGGAUAAAAUGAGAAGAGAUUUUUCAGUAAAAAUCCAAGUGAGAUGAGAAUAAAUUCUAGAACUAGAGAUGCAAACUAACUUUAAUAUAAUUGUAUUUUGCUUUAAUUUCAAUAACGUUUGGAUUGAGAAAUAAUAGAUAUACAAGAUAAUGCACAAGUAUAUAUCUUGAGCGAAAAUUUCAGUUAAAUAACCUUGUAGCCUUACAAAAAAGAUUAAAUUGAGCAAGAUGACUUCAACUAAAAGUAAGCAUGAGAAAGAUAAUAUUCAUAGAAACAAAAUGAGUUUAUCUAUAGAAAGUUCAAAUUAGAACCUUAAUUGUGGUAUAAUUGUGUUUCAGAAACAAAAAUGGAAGAACAUAUACUAUGUAGAAGAAAAAUUAAAACUAAAUGAGAGAAUCUCAAAUUUCAGAAAAUGAGUCUCCACCAACUCUAGUAAAUGGAGAAUGCUAAGGAGUGAUGGCAGCACGAGGCAAUUCAGAGGUGUUGCCGAAGAGGAGUGAUUUGGGGCAAGCCCAUGAGGAUGGAAAGUUUAAAUUUUCACUGGCUCCUAACCAUAAUCUCUUUUCUGUCUUGUAUCUAAAUAAGAUAAAUAAUUAAGCCCAACAACUGCACAGAACGAAAAUAUAAUUAUGCAUGCAAAUUACCAGGAAUGCACAAGAAUUUAGAACUUUCGGCUCCCCAACCAACAGGGCCUCGGGCUCCCCACCAUCAGAAGAUGCUCCAGCCAGUUUUCUUCACUCCAUUAAAGAUUUAAAGCUUGUCUAUGUUACGCUCACCAGCAUCGUCCCCCUUCAGCUUCAUCCUUGCACUAAGUUUGGAGCCACAAGGCCCCACUUGAGCCUUUUGUCUUGCAUCAAGGUGCCCACUUUGGUUCCUCUCACCUGUGUCACAUUUGUUGACUCGACGACAUGUUCAUUAUGACCAUAUGAACCUAGCAGAUCACCCCUGAUGCAGGAUGUGAUGAUGAAAAGACUAUAUUACCCAAAAUAGGUGACUUAGACUAGACUCUACUAAAGGAUCUAAGAACUAAAGAAGGUCAACUAGGGUAAGAUUGGGUGAAAUCUUGGAAGAUUGAAAUCAACGGAAUGUCACAAUUAAAAAAUCGCUAAUGAUUAGUGUGCUCCAACUCAAUAAAUCAAUUAGCCACAAAUCAAAAGGUUAUCACUUCUCACUAACCACCAAUCACUAAAAUGAAUAAACUUAUCUAUGGUUCCCAUAAUGACAAUUUUGCACAACAAAAUACUGAGUGAACAAGAUACUCUAUUAUGGAAAUGAAAGGUUUAGAGAUAACCUUGUCACCAGGUUAAGUGACUGAUUGGAAAAGGUGUCAGUUAAAGCUGGACCCCACUUGUCAACCGUUGACCUAUAUGUGUUGACUGUUGACUUGCAUGAACUGGUUCCAGUUGGCCAGGUGGGGGUGGCUGGGCUGGAUUAAAGCAGACCGGUCUGGCCCAGUGGUUCCGAAUAACACAAUUUAGGGCUUUUUUUAUACCCUAAAUGUUCGUGGGCACGGACAGAAUGUGUGGGCUGAGGGAGGCGAGGUGGCAGCAGUGGCAGACGGGGCAGGAGUCGGGACGAUGGUGGAGGCAGCAGCAGCAAAUGGUGACGGUGGGUUAUGCUAGAAGAGGAAGGAUGGAAGGUGCGGAUGGCGGCAAUGUGAUGGACUCCUAGCAGCAGCCCACCUACCACAGAAGAAGCGGAGUAAGAGGAAACAGAGGUCCCAGAGAAAUAAAAGAGGGAAAUGGGCCGACAGAGACAAGCCCAAAGAUGGAAAAAGAAGCGGUGAACAUAAGCAACCAUUGAACGCGGAGGACAACGACCAUAACAACCACCUGCUGACGGGAGAAGACUCGGGCAGCAAUCUGAAUACAAUAAAUAGGCGAAGCACCAAGGGGCAGAGGGAGAGGGAGAUUAGCCAUCUCGAAUCGGCUGCCUUGUUCUCUUGUGUUCUUCUCUUCCUCUUUCCUCUUUCUCUCGUUCCCCGCCUUCCCCCUCAGUUCCCUUUCUCAUAAUAUCCUUCAGUCCUGUGGUGCAUCUGGAACACCGAUCUGUCAUCCUCGUUUGAAUCCAAGAAGUAUUUCCUGUUCAAAUCUCAAUCUUGCUACAGCAGCGAUCGCCACAGUCGCGGAUCCUAUCACAAUGGCAGCGGCAGACGGCGACGACGGAUGGCGGCGGACAGCGAUGACGGACCGCGGUGAGCAGCGACGACGGACGACGGAUGUCGGCGGAAACCGGCGGCAGAUGGUGGCGGACGAGCAGCGGAUGCAAGCGGUGGCGGCGGUAGUUGACGACGGUGGUGAUGGAUAGUUGACCCUCACUGCCUCUCCUUGCGGAGCGAUUUGACUCUCACGGCCUUCUCUGUCUAUUCUUUGGGCUAUCACGAGGUUAUUUAUAACCUCCAAGAAAAUAGAAAAGAAAAGGAGUUCAUGGAAGACGGGGUUACUCUCCCAUGAAGAGUAAUCGCGUGAAGGCGGGAGGAUGGAGAGGACGGCGAGGACGCCGCCGGCGAAGGGGCAGUGGCGGCCGCCGCUCCUCUCGUCAUACGCUGGCCUCAUGACCCCAAUUUGGCCAUCGCCUUUCUCGGAAUGUCCUCGCUGACUCCCGCCGAUUUCCGGACCUCGAGGCUGUGCUGGAGAUCACGGCGGAAGAAGGGUUGAGGCCCUCUGCCGAAGUGCUUGGUGCCAUCGUCGCUGGUUAUUCUGACACCAGUGAGGAAUACCCUGCUGUUCUAGUCCACGGCGAAGGACCCUUCCCGAGACCGACGGCUCAACCGCCUUCUCCACGGGCUUGCGCGGCGCCGCCGCUACGAGACUGCCCGUAACCUGUGCGACGAAAUGCUCCAAGGAUAUGGCGUAGCAGAUAACUUCUCCAAUGGUAUAGUUGUGAAGGGCCUGUGAGAUCAAGGGAAGGCGGGUGAAACCCUGGAAGAAAUUAAUGGACGACUGCUGCAGGAUCGGAGAUGCCUGCAAAGUGUGGUUUCGUAUGGAAACGAUAAACGCACAGUAUCCUCAUGAGCAAUGCAUGCAAUGCCGGUGAGCUUGAAAGAACUGCUGUUCUCUUCAGGAAUAUGCUGCUCGGCAGGCGCGCCAUCCUAGUGACGUCAUCUUUCAUUACCUUCUCAACGGGCUUAAUCAUGCCGUUACGCCUUUGUGCGGUGGUUGAUGAUGGGCUUGACGGGCAUGAGGGCCCCUUGCUGUUCGAGAUGCUCAGAAAAUAGUUGCAUAUGAUUGGGAUCCCUGGUCAGCAGCUUAUAAUGCCAUCAUCUUAUUUCUCUGCCGGCAUCGGAUGCUCAAGUUGUGGGUUAGUAGGAAGGAAUUGUGUUACUGAGACAUUAAAAUAAAAAUAGCAUGAACCAUUGAAGAUAUUGUUCCUGAGGAGUUAUUGAUGAAAGGACGAUGCGAUUUGGCUUUGGCAAUUCUUGUUGAAGUAAGAUCUCUUGAAUCUCGCUCAAUAGCUUUUUCGGUGGCUGCCAUCAACACAGAGGAAAGUGCCAUCAACCAUCUGUAACAGCUGCCAAUAUUUCCUCAAUUUUCCUGAAUUGUUUUAAACUUUUUGUGAUAGAACACCAGCAUUCACCACCAUAGCACUAUGAAUGAUAUCUUUCCUUUCAUGAUAAGCAAAUGUGUUAGAAUUCACAUCAGUAAAUAGUAGCUGAACAUGUAGACAGGGAAUCCCAUCAUUUUAAUGUCUUUCCUAUCAUCUAUUUUGAAGCCUAAAACCAAGAAAGAGUGUCCUUUUGAACUUUCUUCUUUUCCAGCAUAUCAAAGAUUGAUGUCUUUGAAAAUCAUCACUCCAGACCCAGAAAGGAGGUAGGACUCUAGGAUUAUGCCUUGGGGCAAAUAUUUCUAUACAUAAUUCACUUACAUCUUAUAUUUUUUAAAAUGUCCGGGGCUUCUCUAUUUUGUCUUUCAACCUAGAGCAAGAAGAUUAUGAGGUCUCACCAUGGCCUUAUGACUUCUGAGAAUUGCUUGGUUGAAUAGGCAGUCGAGCUCUUUCUGUCAUGCAUUUGCAUCCCUGUGAAGGGCAUUCAGCAUGCAAUUAUGAUCAAAAUACUAACUAAAUUCAUCCACUACACUUGCAAAAUGUUCAUAUUUCCUCAUUUGUAAUAUUUUGUUCAUAAUGUCAAUGAAAGAUUACUUUUAAUUAUUUAUUUAAUCUAUAAAUAACUGAUGAUUUAAGAUUGAAGAAUACGUGAUCCAAUGACUUUGAUAUGUUGCCGUGCAUGUAUUUGUUAUUAACCAAGUAUUUCAUGGUUAUAUAAUUAUGCUGAUUUAUUUUCUGGGUUGCCUCCAAAAGGGACAUCAUUGGCCUACACUGAACCAUCUCUAGUUAUGUGGCGAAUCAGCACUGAAAAUUCUAUGCUAUGUACUAGAAAUAAUCUUCAUGAUGCAUGUAUGAUCUAAGCUAACUCCACAUCUAGUCUUCUUGCAAUCUACAAUCUGCAGAUAUAAAUAUUGAUGUGUUGUCAUAUUGUGUUGAGGAAUGGGCGUUUCAUUCAUCGGCAUGGCCAUCCGAAGAGAAUUUGGCCGUGCCUGAUGUGAGGAAGGAUUAGAACCGGGGUACUCACAGAAGAAAACAUCCUUAAAGAUUUUAUCAUCACAGAAUACAGCCUUUUAUUAGCCAGUACAUUUCAAUUUCAGUUCAUAAUAUACUGGUCACUGGGCAGUGGCACCAACUCAGCCAUGACCUCCACAGUUAUUGUUAUGGAUUAAAAUGAGUUGAAUUGGAUCUCUUUGUAAUGAUCCAGAAGAGUCAUUUGAGCAUGCGGGAGAAUUUAGUUGAUGGCUCUGAGUUCGGCAGCAUUAGCUAAGAUGGGGUAUUUUAGUCCUUUGUUUAAGCAUUGAUUUGAAUAAUAUGUUAAUAUUAAAAUCACAAUAUCUCUGCUUAAUUUGAGGAUGAUAUACUAAUUUAGGAAAAAAAUAUUUGAAUGUUUCAUAUUGCAUAAUCGUGUGGAAUAUUUUUUUAUUUUGUCUUGAUUUAUUUCAGUUUAAAAGAAAUAUAAUUGAUGUAAUUAUUGGGGCUUAAUUUAAUUUCAAAAUUAUGUUAUUAUUUGGCCUGAUUUUAGUUGAAAUUGAUUUUAUUAUUGGGCUGAAUAUAAGUUUAAAUGGAUUUGAUUUUCGGGCCUGAAUUUAAGCUGAGUUUACAUUGGGCCUUAUUUUAGACGUAUUGGAUCCAAGCUAAAUGGGUCUCAUUGAAACCAUUACUGGACAAAAACCUAUGUCUCGGGUCCAUAAUCAUCCGAAAAUUAAAGCGCCCAAAAUAAAUGCCUCGUAUUAUUUAAUAUUAAAUUCUCUUUCUUUUCAAAUACUCUCUUAUUCUCUAAUAUUAAAUUACCCAUCUUAUUAAAUUCUCCCUGUUAUAUCCAGUGAGGAUAUGACAACCGCCUAUGCGCCAGUUGACUGCCAUACCCUAAAAACCACUCUCACAUCCAUUCUCCAUCUUUCUACUAUAAGUAAUCUCAUGUUUCACGGGUUAAGCGAAGGGGGAAAAAAAGGAAUAUCAAAUGGAUGUUGCAGAACAGAUCACUUGAUGAAGGAGAUGGCUUCAAACUUAAAUAGACUCAUUAGAGUAUGCUGAUUUGUUUCUUCUUCAUGCAUAUUCUUAAAUUUGCAGACUCUGCGUCCCUCUUCAACAAGUUCAUUUUUGGAAAGUAAAUAUUGGAACUGGCCGAUAAGCCCUGCAAAAGCAGGGGUCGGCAACUGUCUUUUCGAACGAUGAUCUUGUCCCCUUUCCUAAUCAAAUAGUAACGAAUAGAAAACCCUUUCGAGGAAGUGAGAAGAGUAUCUUUCGCUAUUAUAGCUCGUUAAUAAUUCAGAUUUUUUGUUAAUUCUCCUUGGAUUGGUGCAAGGAUCAUUCUUUCUCUUUGUCCUUAAUGUUCUCUGUUUAUGGGACGUUGAAUUCCUGUUGAAGGCUAACAGGAUGUUGACCAGUCUAUUUGAUACUUUCAGCCGUUUAUCUUUUUGUGCGGGAAACAGCACGGUGAAUGUCUAAAAUAACUGCACUUUAUCUUGAUUUACGUUAAUAGUAGCCUUCAUGAACUGGUAGCUAAAGCUGAAGUGAACUCCUUGAAGGACUCGGACGCGUACGAAAGUUCCAACUAGGAGAAGAUGCUAAACACGGAGUAGCCUCGGAGUGAUGCAGCAGCCUGUGGUUUAAAUUGUUGCCAAGCCGGCAAGUGCUUUAAGAGGUAGGGCAAAUUCCUGAACCCUCUCCAUCUUUCUCAUACUCUUCCCAACUUUCCUAUUUCGGUAUAUUUAACGGUGAAAACGCGUGGUUCUACCGUACUGCAGGGGGCCUUCGUGAGAACCGAGAGUUUGUUUAUUCGGCACUACGAGGUUGCAGUGCUCCUUUAUUCCAUAGGAUUUAUUCGGGGGGGGGGCAGUCAGUACAGGAUCAGAGCACUAACUGGCUUCUUUAUACCUUUUUGUGUCCUUAGAGGGUAUAGAUAACCUCGUGCUAACCCUAAGAACAGACAGAGAGAGAAAUAGACUAACCGCUAUUCCGACCUGCGCCCAUUCCACUGCCCUGGCCGUCUUCCCCCUUUCUCUUCCCGCACGAUCCUUCGUGCAACCCCUUUUCCGCUCACCGUUUAGGGUUUAAAGAAGCCCUAGUUUGUAUUAUCACGAACCGCUGGAUCAAACAGGUCCGGUUCAGCCAAGCCAAGCCGCUCACACCUAUCCAGCCCGAAUCUGCUCGAGCCACAUCGUCCGAGUCUAACUGCCGCCGGUUCAUACCACAGUGGACCAUUUAGUCCGAAUCACCCUGUCAGCCCGACCCAUUUAGGCUGCCUACUCUGAAGCAAUCACCUCACCUGGUUCGAGUAAGGCUGCCUAGUCAACCAGGUUAACAGGUCAACAUCAAUAAUUGCUUAAGGUCAACACUUGGUCAACGGUGAACAUCAGGGUAACUAUUCACAGGUAGGUUCUAGCAACCUGAGUUUCUCCACCACACAGUCACCUAUUAUGAUGAUAAGGUUAUCUCUAAACAUUUUUCAUUUUCCAUAUUAGAGUAUUUUGUUCCCUUAGUAUUUUGUUGUGCAACAUUGUUGUUGUAUGAUUCAUAGAUUAAGUCAUUCAAUUUUAUGUUUGGUGGUUAAUGAGGAGUUAUAACCUACUUAAUUUGCGUCUAAUUGAUUUAUUGAUUUUACAGUAGCAUAAUCUUUGAUGAUUUCUUAAUUGUGACAAUACAUUUGUUUUAAAUCUUGUACGAUUUCACUUUAUCUUAUCCUAGGAGACCUUGUCAAGUUACUAGAGCCAUCAUUAGAGUCAAGUGUAGGUCGUGUCUAGGGUGACAUAGUCUUUUCAUCAUAGUAUCUUGCAUCAGUAGUUGGAGCUGUCAAGCCUGAUCUGGGUGCAGAUGGAAAGUUUGAUGUUGACCCCUUGAAUUGUUCCUGAGGGGAAAUAUCUGUGGAACGACAGGAUGCUUUGAGACACGAGGGCUAAGAUAUUAUCCACAUAUACCAUUGUGUCAGUGACAUGUAUGUCAUACUAUGAUGCUAUUCGCCAGAUAAAGCAUUGACUUUUCUGCACUACUAUGGAAUCACGAUUGAUUCAAGAGAUGCCAUUCAUAUAUAUAGGUAAAGUUGUAAUUUUUUGCUCCUUACAUCUUUAGUGGGCAUUAAUGAUGGGGAAGAAAUCUCUCAUGGUUGAGCAACAAAAAGCUAGAAAAAUCACUAGAAUGAAUCUUUAUCACGAGCUAUGUGCAGAUUUUCUACUAAUGGGCUGUUCAUAACUUUUUUUAAUCAAAGUUUUCCACUUAAGCUGUUGAUACCUUCAAUUCUCUUUUGAAAGUUCAAACCGUCAAGUGAAAUGACAUAUAAAUAUUAGUGUAACAAUAAAUCUCAAUUGUAUCUUUAUUUCUCCUCUAACAUGGCCAAUAGUAGUGGAAUAUCUUGGAAAUAUGCAAGAACGGUGCUUAGCGUUAAAUUUAGUUCUCUCACUAUUCUAUCCAAAACUAUAGUUAGGGAAAUAAUAAAUAACGAGAUUGACAUAAUGCACAUAUUUAUGUAACCAAAUGUGUUAUGGCAUAUUGAGUUGCAAUGCUGUAGAAGUUAACUAGCCUAUGAAAUAACAUGUGUUUGCCUACUCAUCUCAAAAUUGAUUUUAAAUAUACAUAGUUUUUUUUUAAUCGAUGAUCAAUAAGAUAAAUCAAAGCAUUCCCUACAAGAAAAGAACCAAAACCCAUGCUCGAAAUUGAUUGACAAGUCGUCAAAGAAACUCAAUUGUGACACCAUUUGGAUACUAUAUGACACAUGAACAGUUCAUAGAUAUUCUCAUCAAAAGAUUAAGUAGAUUACCCUUUUAGAAGCUCACAUCCAAGUUGAAAUUAGACAACAUCCGUUCACCAACUUGAUGAGGAACGUCACAGAAUCAGAACUGACAAUUAUACUGUAAUCAUUAUUAUUUUUGAAUAUGUCCUUUUUUCGUAAUAAUGUCACUUCUAUUCACGGGUGAAUCAGAUUUGGUUUCAGCACCGGCGAGGGUGAAGAAAUUCAACCUCGUUCGGUCAGGUCUUCUUCGCUAUAGACGCCACCAAGAACAAGAAAGAGGCUCUCCGCUCCUAGUCAAUAAGUAGUGCUUGUCCUCCGGGUUCCAAGUUUUAUCUCACGUCAUUUCGUUUCGCCUGCUCCAGCAAAGUCUCCUUUUCUAGAACUUGCAAAAUAUAUUCUUAAAAUUUGGGAUAGCAUAUUGAAAAUAAGAGUCUUUUGGACUUUGGGUUCCCCAUAAAUGAAGAGUUGCUUGGUUUUAAUGGGUCUUCUAAAAACUACUUGACACGCUAUCCAAUCCAAAAGUACAUACUUUUCUUUCAGAUAUUCAGGGGAGUACUCCUUAGGCCAAUCAUGUUUUAAUAAAAAAUCCAUGAUUCUUCCACCCAAAGUGGUUUUCAGUCUUUUAAAUACUCGAAAUCAUCUGUCUAUCUCUCUCUUUCUUUCUCUCUCACUUCCCCUCUCUUCCUCGCUCACCUCCUCUCUCUGUCUCCCCCCUUCUCUCUCCAUUCCUCUCCCUUCUCUCUCUCUCUCUCUCACUUCCUCUCUCUUUCUCUCUUUCUCACCCUCUAUCACUUCCUCUCUCUUUCUCACCCUCUAUCACUUCCUCUCUCUUUCUCUCUUUCUCACCCUCUAUCACUUCCUCUCUCUCUCUCAUAAGCGAGGGCAAACCUCAGGCAACCUUGAAACGGGGAGGCAUCGUAGAGAGGAGGGAGUGGGAGCGGCGUUUGUUUCGACGGCGUCUAUUUUGACGGCGCGGUGGAAGAGAGGGACGACAUUCGAUCUGAGUGCACGUUGGCCAGGCAUAGGCGCCAGAGCUCACACACCGUCCACGCGGGCGCCAGGGGCAGCUUGCGUCACCUGGACGUCAUCCUCCUAAAAAGGGUUACUUUUCUAAAUAUGCCAAAAUACGGAUAAGCAUGCGAAAAUCUGCUUUAUUAAUUUUUAUUGAUGAAAUUAUGAAUUUAAUGCAUUAUAUUCGAAUUUAGGUGACCCUAAUGAAAAUUACUUACUUAAUUAAUCAUAUCGAAAAUAAUUGGCCCAAAAAUAAAAUCAACGAUUUAAUAAACGUGGAGUCUUGAAUUAUUCGCAUGAAACACAUGAAAAUCUUUCUCCUCUUGGCUUCCGCCACGUGGAAAUCGCCGCCCCCUCUCUGGAACGUUCCGACGGUGGCGGGAAGCCGGUCGAGCGGGAAUGAUCGGCCCUCUGAAUCCCGGGCCAUUCCAGGCGUCCUUUGAGAAGCACGGGCACACCCCAAGUUCCAGGGGGUGCUUAGUUAAUGGGCCUUUAAGGCCCAAAAUCUACUAUUGGGCCCAUAUUUAAUGGGCUUUUAUUAUUGACCCUCAUCACUAAGAAUCACCUGGGGUUAUGUAUUUUAAUGGGCCUUAUUAUCUAGUGGGCCUUCAGACGAUACCCCACACGGGUCUGUGAGCCGAGUCCACAAGUACCAUAAAAAGGGGGUUUGAAUAUUUUUACGGUUUCUAGGGCGUAAAAAAAUAAUUCCAGGAGUUUUGGAAAAGUAAAUAAUUUUAGAGGGGCUGAUGAGUCAGCUGCCUCCUCGGGCCGCAGCCGCCGUUUCUAGGACCGACCGACGCCUAACCUGCACAGGUACCUACAUUGUGCAGUAUGAGCCGCACAUUCAACAUAGCGUUCGGACUCAUGUGCCUUCCAGAACCAGGGGCAGGCCUAGUCCCGCCCAAACAGAAAAAGGGCUAAGAAUCCCCAUUUUAAGCUUGAAGGGGGAAGGAUAACCCAUGCUUCUAGUUCGCGAGUCGAGCUCGCUCUCUGGCCAAAAAAAAAUUCGAUUAAAAUAGGAAGAGGACCUGGGAACGAGCCAUUCAGGCGGUUAGGGGUGUCCCCCAGUGACUUGUUGCUGUUAAAAGAGAAAAGCACUAAACUAGCCCGAGUGGUUGAAUGCCUAAUUAUUCAGUCAAUUGAGAACCGAAUGAGCAGUAUAUGAGUUUAUAACAGAACAGAGAAGCCAUCUCAUCUAAUCUAACACUCCGCCAGAGAAAGGUUUCCGUCCCAUAGAAGCUAAAAAUGGCCUUAUACGUCGAUUGACUUCGUCAAAUGGGGGACUCUAUUCCGUCGCUUGCAGGUAAGGUAACCCGAAAAAUAUAUGUAUCGAACUCUUAAUGAGUUUAAUUGAAAUAUUUUGACUUUUACCUUUCUCUCUCUUCCCUCACGAGCCAACGGUUCUCUCACCACCGGUAGCGCCCCCUCUGACAAGCAGCGACCUCAGUAGCAUUGACACUUCGCCAAUCCCGUGGCUACAGAUUUCCCACUCUCCUUUAACAGAAGAUGUGACGACCAUCAGCAAACUGCGGCAGAAAUCUAAUUUGCUGACAGAGCUCUAUUACGAGUUCUGCGGGAGAAAGUGUAGAGAAUAAGUAAACAGCUUGUGGCGCUGUUGGUUUUUAUAGUCCAGAUGAAAUGUCAUAAGCGCUAUGUUUACCUGUAGCCAGUCAGUGAUUUCUGCAAGGCCUGACCCAGAUACAGAAAUAAGUUCGAGUAAAUGAGCAAUUCACCGUCCCCCAGGUAGGUAACAACGUGACGAUUAUUCGGAAUGAACAGUGACAGCAGGCGGCAGCAGAUUACAAACCUCAUCAAUGUUAAGGCGUAGGAAAGCCUGCCACCACUCACCACUAUGAUGCUAUUCGCUAGAUAAAAGAGUUGAGUUUUCUGCACUACUGUGGAAUCACGAUUGGUUCAAGAGAUGCCAUCCGUAUAUACAGGUAAAGUUGUGAUCUUUUGCUCCUUACAUCUUCAGUGGGCAUUAAUGAUGGGGAAGAAAUCUCGCAUGGUUGAGCAACAAAAAGCUAGAAAAUUCAAUAGAAUGAAUCUUAAUCACAGGCUAUAUACAGAUUUUCUACUAAUGGCUUGGUCAUAACUUUUUUUCAUCACAGUUUUCCAAUUAAGCUGUAGAUACCUUCAAUUCUCUUUGGAAAGUUCAAACCGUCAAGUGAAAUGACAUGUAAAUACUAGUGUAACAAUAAAUCUUAAUUGUAUCUCUAUUUCUCCUCUAACAUGGCCUAUAGUAGUAGAAUAUCCUGAAAAUAUGCAAGAACGGAGCUUAGCGUUAAAUCUAGUUCUCUCAGAAUUCUAUCCAAAACCAAAUGUAGGGCAAUAAGAAAUAACGAGAUUGACAUAAUGCACUUAUUUAUGUAACCAACGGUGUUAUGGCAUCUUGAUCCAUAAUUUUUUUUAAUCAAUGAUCAAUAAAAUAAAUCAAAGCAUUCCCUACAAGAAAACUUAUGCUCCAAAAUGAACCAAAACCCAUGUUCGAAAUUGAUUGACAAGUCAUCAAAGAAAAACUCAAUUGUUACACCAUUUGCAUACUAUAUAACACAUGAAUAAUUCAUAGAUAUUCUCAUCAAAAGAUUAAGUAGAUUACCCUUUUACAAGCUCACAUCCAAGUUGAAAUUAGACAACAUCCGUUCACCAGCUUGAUGAGGAACGUCAUAGAAUCAGAACUGACAAUUAUACUAUAAUCAUAAUUGUUUUUUGUAUAUGUCCAUUUUUUGUAGUAAUGUCACUUCUAUUCACCGGUGAAUUAGAUCUGACUUCAGCCCAAGAAAAUUAAUUGGAUCCAACCUACUAGGUUUAGGUUUGGACUGAUAUAAAUAUAUGACUAACGGUAGCGCUCCCUCUGACAAGCAGCGACCUCAGCAGCAUUGACACUUAGACAAUCCCGUGGCUACAGAUUUCCCGCUCUGCUUUAUUAGAAGAUGUGACGACCAUCAGCAAACUGCGGCCGAAAUCUAAUCUGCUGAGUGAGCUCUAUUACGAGUUCUGCGGGAGAAAGUGUAGAGAAUAAGUAAACAGCUUGUUGUGCUGUUGGAGUAGUCCAGAUGAAAUGUCAUAAGCGCUAUGUUUACCUGUAGCCAGUCAGUGAUGUCUGCAAGGCCUGACCCAGACGCAGAGAUAAGUUCGAAUAAAUGAGCAGUUCACCAUCCCACAGGUAGGCAAGGUUGGAGAACGUGACGAUUAUUUCGAAUGAACAGUGACAGGAGGCGGCAGCAGAUUACAAACCUCAUCAAUGUUAAGGCGUAGGAAAGCCUGCCACCACUCAUCACCAAGUUUGUAAAUUUUCAAUGAAGUUGGUCGCGAAAGUCAUAAAUUCUCUAUCGCUUUUAAUAUCCUUGUAUGAGUUGGUUUUGCAUCAGGUACAACCUGGGUUAACAACAUCUUUUGCAGUAUGGUUGAAAUUCUUUUUGGGUUAGCCAACAUCAAGUAUCGAGACAUGAUUUGCAUAUCAUCUGUACUGCUAACCAUGACUAAUCUUUUUAGGCAGCUGGAUUUAAUCUAGUGGAAUGAGCGGUCUCUGAAAGACAGAAACGGUCCAUUUGCCGACCAAUUCUGACAUAUGAAAACAGCCCAAUAAUGGGCAGAUUUGAAUCCCCAGGUGGAAGUGGAAACGGUCUUAACGAGUGGGUUGACUAUUUCUUACGGAAACGGUCCAUAAUUACAAGAACGAAGGGCAUGUUCGAAAAUAAAGAAUGAUUCAUUGAGGGAUUCGCGGCACUAAGAGGCCUCCUUACCCCUUAUUUUGUGUCCCAUUUAAAAAGUUUCUAGUAAGGUUAUAAGGUAAAGAUCUAAGGUUAGCUUUGGUGGGAGCCUUGAAGGCUAAUACUAAGAAUUUGUUCUAUCGGUUUUUGGUGAGAAAUCUCUUAUAAAUGUUUCACAUCUGAUGAAGCUUUCAUUUUCAGUGACCUUGGAAGGGCGCCGAUCACCAAACCACAUCAAAUUUCCUAGUGUUGGUGCUUUUGUUGUUUGUUGAUUAUUCUUCCUCUUUCCUAAUUCGUGUUCUUCAGUACAUUUUGCAAGUCUAAGUUGCCGUUUAGUCUAGUAACUUUCUAACCGUACACAGUGCCCUAUAAAGACAGUGAAAAUAGACUACAUUCAUUUAUGUCAAUUCUGAGUGACAAAAUGGAUAAAAGUUAAAACCAAAAAAUGAAUCUAUUUGUUGGCAAAGAGCCUGAAUGAGACUUUAUACCUUUUCAAACUAUACGUUUGAGCUUCCAUACAUAACAUAUUUGUGUUAGGGAAUGUACAGUCCUGAGGCCUUUAAAACUAAAGCUUUUGCUCUUCAUUAGUCCAAUUGUCUACUAUCCGUAUAAAAUAUAGAGCCUUGUUAAGCUCCUAUUUGACAAUGUUAGCCUUUACCCUCUUAUACAAUAAGCUAAAACUAAUCCAGCCAUUAAAUUUUGCUUACUCAGUAAUGAUUUUCUCAGGUUUGUUACAAUUUUGAAUUGACAUCCUAGAGAAAUCCAAAUGGGAUCACCUUUUAACCUUCUCGAAUGGCUCAUAUUGCAUAUUAAUAUAAAACAGCUUUGGCUCUCAUAAUUGUCUAAUGAGCCACAUCUUGAAGAUAUUUUGAAAGACACCCAAUUAGGUGAAAAUUCAUAAAAUUUUCAACCCUAUUGGGCUAGUAAAACAUGCCUUAGGCAGGACUAACCUAAGAAAUUUAUGAAAUGAACUGUGGUAUGUAAGUAUCAAAACGAACCUUAUUAAAUUGAUGCGGGCUAGAGUACAAAUGGUAGAACCCUAAAGAUUUGUCAGAGUUUUUCAAAAGAAGAGAACAUCAUUGUAGUCAAAAAUCUCUUGCAAUAAUAAAACUAAAGGAUCAAGCGGUUUAAGAAAUCUGCUGAUUAGGGUACCUAGAUUUAAUAGAUCAAAUAAAGUUUAAUCAGGGGGAAUGAUCAGCCAAAUAUAAAAAGGUAGCUAUCCUAUUGUUCCCUCAAGCAACCAUGACAAGAGAAUAUACUUAAAAAACAAAUGACUAGGUAGCUGAUAGGAAAAGUUCAGAAAUUAUACUUGAGCUUUGGCAGGAUUCCUAAAUUCCUAAAGUUGAUCAUUGACUUUUUUGACCAUUGACCAUUGACCAUUGACCAUGUAAACCAGGCCAUCAGCUGCAGCAGUUCAUAGUUGAAGGGGCUGACUAGUUUUGGUCGGGAUGGCCAGAUGACUCACACCAAACUAUUUUGGCCACGACCAGUUCGACAAGGAUAGUGGCAGUGGGCCGGCUGAAGUGGACUAGGGAACAUGAGGCCAAGGAAUGAAAUAACCUUAGCUUUAGAUGUGGCGAUAUCUAGAGGGAAAUGGGAGAGGUGGCGACAGAGAGAGGUGAGAGUGGAGGCCGGUAGCAAGUAGUGGUGUGAUGACCGUGAGGUGGUGGUCAACAGUGGCGAUGGCAGUGGUAGCAGUGAUAUAAUGAGGCCGACAGUGGUGGGCAACGAAGUGGGGACGAUGGCUAAUGGUGAUGGCUGCUGGAGGGGGUUGCCGGUGGUAGAGAGGGUGAUGGACAAGCAGCAACAGCAAAAGGGAAGGUGAUGACGAUGACAAUAGCAGGUGAUGGUGGUACUGUUGGUGUAGGUAGUGGUGCCUGGCGGUGAUAGAAGAGAAAGAAAGGAGGGGGAAGGGUGCUCCAAACUGGGAGCAGCAGGGUUCCCUGACCAAACCAAGCGAGGGCGACAAGAUCUCAUGAUUAGGUAAGGAAUAAAUUCUUCAUCUCAUUCACUGCCAAGCUAAAGGUUUGAAGGCUGAUUAAUAGGCCUCUCUAUGCAAAAUAAUAGUAAGUUAAUAAUGAAGGAAACCUUCUAUUGUAAGACGUUUUGUUUUGCAGCAUGGGUGACCAAUAGCUAGAUCAAGGGCAAUGUCCCCACCUUCUACAAUAGUUCUUCCCUCAAUUUAAUUGGAUCCUUUCUUAUUUGAAGGGCUGUUGAGGUGUGCUUCAUGGAGGGUACUAUUCUCACCUUCUUUGUCUAUCAUUUCCUUACUUUUAUUCGAAUCACCUUCCUUAGUUGAUGAACUCUUAAAGUAUGCUGCAUCAUGAACAGUAUCACUUCAUGGGCCACUUCCUAUCAAGACAUCUAAAUCAUGACAACCUUAAAAGCUUUUUUAAUAGUCCCCAUCUCAGUUUGCUAUAAAAUGUGCUUUUUUAUGAAUGAAAAUGGAUUUUCCCUGUAGCAUUUUUAUAGAGAUUUCAUAACCUUGUCUUCCAAAUAGCCAUGUUCUCAUAAAGCGUCAAAGAUGGCCUUGAAAAAGCCAGUUCGUAAGUUAAUCUAAAUAAUAGAACAUGGACUUAUACCAACGUUUUAGGACAGAUCCUUUUCCUUCAGUUGGGGUGGUUGAUAAUGCACUGGACUGGAACUCAUUUCUGUGGAGAAGGACAAUUUUUACCCACCGGCUUCUCCUAGAAUGUUUCCUAUUUGUAGCUGCGUAGGAUGUUAACAAGGGACAUUGCUAUUGAUCUGCCUUUCGGUAUCAGUGCAUACUUUCUUGUGCCACUUAUCAUUUAGUGUAUCUUGGUAAUAAUGGAUUCUCAGAUUCUCUUCUCUAUGUUAGAUUUCAUGUUGGGAGAUUGGCUGCUGAGAUGCUUCUUCCGGCAGACGGUAUGUCAUGUCCAUAUCUUGUUCAUUUCUUUAACAGAAAAAUGGUUAAAAUAGUACAUUUAAAUCACAAGGAAGAAUUUAUAACAGAAAAAAUUUUAUUUUCUUCAAUGGUUUCAUAGGCGAUUUAAAAAUUACUAAUUCACAAUAAUAGCAUCAAUCUUGAUUGUUGUAAUCUUUGUUCUUCAAACAAUUCAACAAUUAAGUUAUGAUUUAUGUCGAAAUAAUUUCGCAUCGCGGCAGCUGCCAUGACAAAGAGGAAAACGGCAACCGCCGCAGUGACUUGGAUCCGACAGCUACUGCGGAUAGUAAGAUGAAGACUGUUGGAGGUCUUGAGGUUUACGGUACUGAACGAUAAGGGAAAGCAAACGAAGCUCUGGUUGAGCAUUGAGGAGGCCCUUGACUUCGUCUCCAUAGAACUAAUUGGAGUAGGACGGAGCGAAACCGGGAAUUCAGAUGAACUGUGACACGACUGAUAGGAACCUUGACAACAUGGCACACAUUGGUUGGCUUUCUGUCGACGUUGAUUAACUAAAAAGGUGAAGUCUCUGAAUUUGUCUUCCCCCAAGAUGGCACAGAGUAUGCAGAAACACACAGGCGUGUAUGACGAUUGGUUUCGACGUCAUGGAGAAAUAAAAAGUCCUCGUCCACUGUUGAACCGUUACCAACGCGCUGAACCUUUGAAACUGUCUUAUACUAAUAUACCAUCGUUGACAUUCGAUAAGGGCCCACAAUUACAUCUGGACGCGUAUUUUAUGUAAGAAUUAUGAUUGGGAUCUCUUAAUUUCUUCCGAUGACACUUUCUGUGGAAGGGGAAAGUUUCCACGGUAACGUGUUAUUGGGUCUUACUUUUCUGACUAUGCACAUCGAUUUUUAAUCUUAGCCUUUUGACAAAGAAAAAAUCCUGCUUUACUGGUAUGCGGUUGGUACUCAAGUUUUUAAGGUAACAAAAAUGACGAACGAAUUCCGCAAGUAGAACGAGUCUAUGGAUUUCCAAUCUCGAUUAAAAUUCAGGAGUUUUCGUCUGUUUAAUUGCUCACUGGAGGAACCGUCUACUUAAAGUUUGGGUAAAACUAACCGCUGAACUCAAUUUUUCUGUGUCUAAUUUACCCAUUUCUAUGGCAUCCUAUGCAUAUAUCGUGCAGCGGGACAUCCUCACGUACUCUGAUAGUUUCAGCGAUUUAAGAUUCUCAUAAUUACUUAUAAUACAUUUUGAUUUUCUAAAUGAUAUAAUCAUACGUAACUUUUCUAAGAAACAUUGUGAUUUAUAAUAUUUAAACCCCUUUUGUAGUUGAGAAAACUCCAUGAUGCCAAGUUGUAACAACUCUUUUCUUACGAUGGCUAAAAUUUAAGCAUAAAAGUUGACGUUUGAAACAAAAUGUUGUAUAGAGUGCUUUUAAACUAUAGAAUAAGCCGAAAUUCAAGGCGAAGACCAAAUUUCUAACCGAUGAUAUCGUACGAUCAUGAUUGGUAAGGCACAGUAAAGGGUUCUGUCAAACUUUUGAGGAACUCUUUUAAAAAUUUCAAUCACUGACAUAUGGAAUCACCGGUUUUUGUCUGAAAAACAAAGGCAUGGAUAUAAAGACAGCGAAGAAAAAUAAGAAAAACCAACAUCGAGUAAAACUUCACUUUGUGUGAAAACGUCUCUCUAAGAUGACAGCUAUGUGAUGAAGCAUUAUGAUAGUGAUUUGGAACACUAUUUCAGGUUAAAUACUGCAAAAUUGCAGUGAAUAAAUUUAUUUAAAAGAUUAAAUAUCCUUUAAAUAUCAGCAUCGACCAAAACCGCAUUAAAGAAACUAAGGGGGUUACACAUUGGCAAGUGUGACUAGUAUGGUAAGAAGCAGAGUCUGAAGUGCUUAGUUGAAAAAUGGAAUUGUUUGAAUUGAAAUAUAGAAGAAAGGUCGUAUAAUAUGAUCCUGUUGUUAAUUUUUUCUCCACAUUAAAAAAAAAAUUAUAGAAAAUGACCAGGUAGCAGUAAGUUUAGGAGAUUAAUUGCAUGAAAAAAAUGUGGCGACAUGAUUGAAGCCCCAAUUAGACAGACUCUCUUUCAACGUUCUCACACCUUUUUGGCAUUUCCCUUUAAAUCUUUCAUCAUGUAUCAUAUCCAUGAGAACUGAAUUAACUUAUGAGGGAAAUGUAUACUAUAAAAUUAUGGGGGAAUGGUUGAGAUACCAUAAUUUUUGGAUCAAUGAAUGAUUUUUAGGAAAAAGGAAAUCUGAUUUCUUGAAAUUCGUAUUCAAAUUGUAGAUUAUGGGGUUCCUUGACCCCCUAUUUUGUAGUGCCCAACUAACAUUCUUGAUAUGCAUGUCUUGUCAGAAUACAACACUAUUGAUGAUUCACGUUUCUAAAUUCUUCCAUAGUUUUACUACAUGCACAUAGGUUGAAAUUUUUGUACGGUAUUCUAGGACUUCAACUACAUUCCCAUUUUUCUCAACAUGUACUCCGACGUAUGUCAUAAUGAGUGUGACCAGGCCCGUAUCUGCACCGGUGACUUGGUUUGUACUCGCAGGGUUCAGAGGUUUAUUGACUCUUACUCGGUGGUCGGGAAGUGGGUUUGGAAAAGUUUCGGGACAAUAACAAUGUUUUUCCCAUAUUCCUUGCUAGAGCAGGAGAUAUGAUCAAAUAUAUAUUAAGGUAUGCUUGACAUUUUCUUGGUUAAUAUCGCUAUUAAAACCGGCGGCGGACAUAUUCAUUCUAAUAUUGUGCAAAUGGAGUUGGCUCUUGUACCAGUGGGCGGUUGCUUUUUGUCUUUCAAAAGUCUCAAAAGGUAUGUCCUUCCACCACCGAUUUUGAUACUUGUUUAUUGCGCCCGUUGGAUGUCUGAAUUGUUUCUCGAUUCUAAAUUCUGAGCCUUUCCACCACAGGGCUAUGAAGGUCCAAAACAUGAUGAUAAGUUCAAAUACAUGAAGAUAUUUGGAAGUCCUAUUGUUAGAAGAGAAGAACCGUUGGACUGACAAAGGAUGGCCAACAGACAUGUUAGAAGAUCUUAGUCCAUACGAUAUCCUGAACCAUUUUCGUAUAAUAAUAUUGCGCCAGAUUGUACGUUGUCAACUCAAUCUCUAAUUAACGUUUUCUUGAAAUCAUCAUUAUUUUUAGUAUCGUGGGAACGUUUUAUCUUCUUGUGUGCGACAAUGGUACUUUGGACCUAUCCUCUUAGAUAACACGGAACGCACGCACGCCCACUGCGUUCCCGGAUCGAUAGUUAUAAGAAGAAACCACUAAUUGUCUAAAAGCCUACCUAUUAUUCGUCAAUCAAUUUCUAGAUAGUUCAUUCGUCCAUUAUCUCAUACGGUUUGCCGUCUCAACAAUUGCGUCAUGCUCUUAUAUAUUGUUUUUAGGAAGCUCGUUUCCGGAGUUGUUUAGCUCCAUUGAUAUAUAUUCAUAUGAGACAUAAGAACCCGGACUCCCUUUUUCCCUAUUCGGUUGAUGGCGUUCGCUAUCGCUAUUGUCUCCAUAGUUUUACUGUUUGACUGAAAAAAUGAAUCAGAUAAACUUGACCUUCGCAAGUUGUUUUCAAUCAAAGAUAAUGCUAUUUAAAAUCAGUUUGCAUUAGUCACCUGUCGCAACCCACAUUAGGAUAUCAACAACAUUCUAAACUAUAGUAGACGUGAUACCACCAUUUUUCAAAGGAAACUGCCGACUGUUGCCGGGGGAAAAUACUCUUGACGAUGCAUAAAGAAUGAUUGGGCUGGUUAUAUGAUUAUCCUCUCAAUUUACUAGCACUGUCGCUUUGCAAAUUUUAUUUUAAUCGGGAGGAGCUGGUGACGCGAUCUAGCGCAAAGAGCUCUCUCGCGCUUGUACACCGUCUCUCCGUACCAUGUAAGCAGCCGUCGCCUGUCCCCGAUGCUACUCUCGGGGAAGCAGCUUUUCUCAGUUAAUAUAAUUUGAUGGAAUUUAUCCUACACGAAGCUAAACUUGGCAGAUCUCAUUUCCCAAUUUAAUGAUCCACGUGGCUGUGGGGAGUCGGUGGGGCGUUCCUUUCCAAGGAGCGCGAGUCAAGACAGGCCACGUCUCUGGGCCAGUGAAGAGAUAGGCUCCGGAUUAGGGUCUGACCAGCUAAGAAGAUGAAGGUCAACAUAAUUAAUUUAAUCUAAACCGCGUUUCUGGCGUUUCCUAACGGUUGUACGCACGGAACCAUAUGAGAUCAGCAGGGUAGUCGCGAACCGUCUUUUUUUUCUGAAGUCCAGGUGUGCGAACAGUGGGCAAAAGAGAAUAUAAGGAUAUCCACCAAGGCCGUCCAACGCGUCCCCAAGACAUCGUCACACGCGCGAUGCCCAACCCGUUGGAUGCCACCCUGUAGCGUGAUGCCGAACGCGGAUCGCACGAAGCACCAUUGACUUCACUAGAAGCGUGAGGGACACGUUCAUCACGUCCCCGUGAUAAUUUAGGAAUUGCCCUGCGGAUAAGCUUUUGACCAGUUAAGAUGAUCGAUUGGUCAAAAGAGGACUUUUCGCAGUUCCAUAAAAUUUCAACGGACGACAGCGUCAACCCUUAGUGCGAGAACUGUCUUCCUGCUUAUAGAAUGAUCAAAGUUACUGUUUCGAAUCAACAGUAAUGUGAGAAGAAUGGCCCAACAGCUGUCACUAGAAGAAGCUGCAUAGUUAUCUAAUGACAUUUUAAUUUCGAAGAGACAAUAACCUUAAUAUGCGUCAAUUCGCGAGCGUAAGGCAUCACGUCAAUACCGUCCUUAUCCCAUUUUCAAGAUUCUUGUUUGGAUAAGGUUCUGACCGUGGAACAAGAUGGAUAGGUCAACGGAAAGUAGCAAACUGAGACCGACACAUUUCAGAAAUCCUCCGGGACACCCUGUAUUAUUCAUCAAGACAACUGUUACCAACAACAGAUGAGCAGAAGUACGUUCCGUGGCAUCAUUAGGGAUUUGGUCGAACCGAACAAAAUAGUCUUCUUAACAGGCCAAAACUUGAGAAAGCGCCCUUUACUCAAUUGAACUGAGGAUGCACCCAUAUUGGAUAAGCAAAGGUCAGAUUAGGAGUAGAGAUGCCGUUCGAGAAGGUAUAGCAGCUGUGGCCGCUUCGGGAUCUCCGUACGUUAAGUACAACGCCCGUUCUUUUAUAUCGUUGGGUACGCCCUCAAAGGAACAAAUGACUGGCGUCCAGGGGAUUAUGAAGAUAAAGAAAGCUCAAGCCUAGUCGGAAAGUCGGUUGUUAAAUGUCUCGUAUCUGUGGAUGUCGUCAACACUGGCACAUUCCCUGCCGGGGAAAGAAAUUGUCAAAGUUCCAACAGAACGCGUCAGCGAUCAGUCGAAUUUACCUAGUCAACAAAUUAUAAAGUCAUAAGUAAGCAAUUAGAUGGAUCACGUAACCAUCCUCAUUCACCUUCUCCUGCGCCCACAAUCUUCUCCUGCCGCGAAAUCUGGGGACGACAAAUCUAAGACAUAAGUAUAUGUUGGCUGCUGAGAAUAGUUUACGACGAUGGGGAAAGAACAAUUGAUCAAAUAAGACUCUAGGUUCGUAGCCUGGACAGCGGUCAAUUAGGAGAGACCCAGUCCUCCAACCGUACCUAUAUGAAACUUGUUUACACGAAACCGCGUGACCGAACGAUCCUAGGCGAAGCCGGGGAGAGAAGAUUUCAGCACGUAGUUCUGUCUGCAUAUGGCCGGGUACUGCUAAAUCUACCGAUGGAGACCUUGUCAAACAGAAAACAUGGGGAUCUGUUCCCCAAUCGAUUAAACUGUUAAACGGUAACCAUGAACACCGGAUAAGAAAAAUUUGACCGCUUCCCGUGCUCGCCGCGUCUUGGAAGAUAUGUAUGGUUUUCCAAGACGCUCCCGUGAACUUGCUUGUAUCCCCUAAGGUUGCCGACGUAAUUUCCAAAGAGCCGUAUGGAACUUAACUUCCAAGAUCACCUCUUGUACCUUCGGUUCGCCUAUAAGUAGAGGCUGAAGCAGAACUGGCAAGCCAUCCCCAAAUCCUUCCUAUCUUCGACAACUCUCACGUAGUCCCGGAAGAAGGUAUGGCAAACGCCAAGAGGUCUCUCGCCACCCCGGCGGCCGCUGUUCUCCUCCUGCUCAUCGCAGCCACCACCGUUGAAUUUGCGUCGGCGAGUACCCUGACGGCCUUCUCGGGGCCUGCGUGCGCCGGCAAAACGAAAGAUAUCAAUGGCUGUGGAUGCUUCGACAUCAGCGCCUACCAUUCAGGCUUCCAUUUCGUAUUCACGGAGGGCCAAGCAGCCAGGCUCUACACAAAAUCUCACUGCAAGGGCACUCCCUAUCACCUGAAGAAGGAGACCCGCAAGUGUGGACCUAACCACUUCAAGAGCAUUCGUAUGAUCUGUUGAGCCUGCUCUUCUUCCCAACAGUCUGUACUGUAGGUUCCACAAUAAGCGGCAGAUUGAGCUGCUGUUCGGGCAACUGAAUCAAAAGGGCAGUAUAAAGUUGUACUUUGUGUGCUCUGUGUAUCCUGCUCACCCUGUAAUAAUACAAUAAAGGAGAAAUAAUUACGUUUGGCAUUUAUUCAAUCGUGAUAUGCUCACUCCUAUACAACCUUUUGUUUCUGUCCAUCGAAAUUUUAAAACUAGAUCAGCAAAUUUUCGGAGAGAUUAGUAGGUAGUACCUCAUAAUCCGUCGUGGGGUACUUCGGUCUUUUACGAAACCUAAAACAAAGGCUAUCCAUAACAGCAUGUAUAGCCAGUUCAAGUCACAUCUAUUCAGCGUGUCGGAAGAACGCAGCCACUAUCAUGGUGACAAAGUCAGCAACCAGAGCUGCUUCUUACUGUUGAUGCCUGAUUACACUACUUGAAGCGGUUUAUUGUCCAACUUUUGAAUGAUUACAGGAUGUUUGCACCACUCAAGUGACGCCUAGUGUCCCUAAAAACAAGUGGUAAUCAAAAGACAGAAACUGUAAUCCACUUGUUUCUUCUUCUCGCCCUUUCAUACCUGAACUCGAGAAAUCAUUUCGUGGCACAAAUGAAAAAUCAGCAUUAAAUAGAGUGGUUGAUUAUUUCUUUCGAUUCAAAAAGGAACGAGGAGCCCAUUACGUUAAAGUAAAAAGCUAAAAUCGAUCUCCAAACGAUUUAUUGUGAUAGGAUGAAAAUAUAGUUUUGAUGACCACGAAAGAUGAAAUUAUGGGGAAGGGAAGAAAUAAAAACCUCAUUAUGUAGUAGAAAUUACAGCUCAGUAAAGUUCUCGAUUGUCCUCGGGAAUGGGAGAACGGAUACUACUUUAAUACACAAGAACAGUAACGAGAAAAAACUCUUCAAGACGAGCAGAAAAUUAAGCUGGUAGUCGCAGUUGUCCGUGGCUGCCGUUGUCAUGCACUUUCAGAACAGACAACCAGAGAAACGACGGACGUUACCGAUAUCAUCAUCAGAUUAGCGCACAGUUUUAGUUAGAGUCACUCAAAUGAAAGUAGCUAGAGAAAUCCCUGUAAUGGACAUGAUCCUCACGAACGGUUGGCCUCUAAUCAUGAAUAUUUUAAAUUCAUGCUACAAUUUUCUUUUUACUUGCUUUUCGUUAUACAUUACAUAGGAGCUAGGUGCUGAACUGAACCUUAUAGAGCUACUGAAUAUAUUAUUUCAGAAAACGAAAUGAACAUGUAAAACAUCAUUAAAUAAUUAAAGGGAGUUUCAUCAGUCAUAAUGUUGAUACAUGUUCCUGCUCUCAAGGAAGAUUCCGCUUUCUUAAUGGAAGGCACACCGGCUGCAAUCUGCAGAGUUUCCGCUGAGCAGGCACAAAAUUCUUUACAUUUACCCUUGAACAAAAUUCUAAAUUCAAUAAUCUUGUAAAAAUAUAAGCAAUCUAAGUUAUUUGCAUUUAAAUUCUCUGUUUGUUGAUUGUAUUUAUACUUCAGUUGAUUUAAAUAUGGCAUCUAACAUAUUUUAUAAUAUGGAAACGACAAUUUUAAUUUAUAGCUAACUGAGCUUUUCCCUCAUCUAUCGAUUUUCGUUCGCAAAAUAAAGUGGCAGACUGUUCUCCGAUGGAGGUUUUCUAUCUUCUCUCUCUCUACGUGGUCAAAGCCUCUAGCAUUCGGUAAAACCCCUUCCUGUCUCUUGUUCUGCUCCACUGAGUUUAAUGAUUUCUACAAUAACUUAGGUAUUUUCAGGCAUAGGAUAAUUUGUUAUACUCCACAGCAAAAUAGAAAGAAUGAAUAGAACUCUACUAGAAUGCCUUCAUCAUGAAAAAUAUGUUGAAUGACAUUGGUGGGCAUUGUUCAUAUUGCAGAUUUGAUGCUUUUUUUAAAAAAAAUUUAGGAUUACUCUUACACUCCUUGAAAUAAAAAAUCGCAACUCAUGUAGUAUGACAAUUUUGGGGGCCUGCCAAUUCAAUUGUAGGUAAUAGUUGGAAUACACCAGAAGCAAGGGAACUUGCUUCGUCUUUAAUCAAUUGAGCUUAUCAUUUUUUUUCUCAUCUGCUACUAAGUAUAUAGAAACAUAUGGAGAAUAAAUAAGCAGCUACUUCCCAUACGGGUGCACUGAUACAUUUUGAAUGACAUAAAACUGCUGCUGACAUUGAACUUUGGAGAGGGGUUCCAAAGUUUACUCGAUUACCCUGCACCGUUUCGCUCUAUUCUACUAACUUAAUUCUGGUGGAGACAGGAGGUCCUUUGAAUCUCUGAACCGAUCUCCAAGAACAACCCUCUCAGUACGAGGUUACUAUGAUUAGAAAAAUGAAACAUUGGUUGAAAUGAAGUUCUUCCAAAUAAGAUCGGUGCACAUUACCAGAAAUGUGCCCUUAUCCAGAAUCAGGAAUGAAUUAUUUUCCUCUCCAUCUCGGCCUUCUGCUUCACAGUUUUUUGUUUUCCUAUUAGAAAUCAUGAAACAUCAUGGAGUAGCUCUGUAUGUAUCAUUUCCGCUGACAUAUAGGUAGAUGACUACAUCUGUGAAAUCUGUUGAAUAAAGUAUGCGUCAGGUUAAUAAAUUAUGUGUAGAAGAAAACGGAUGAUAUUCUUGGUUGUUUCGAAGUAUGCCGUCAAAAAACUCGGUCGACGAAUGGUUUUCUUCUGUUGGCUUGACCAGUUAUACCUCAGAGUUUUGUGGUACCGCCCUACACGGGUAGGUUUAUAUUAUUUGUGUACUAAGGGCUACUAUCGUAGGCUACAUUUCAGAUAGCCAGUUCGUAUAUUUGUAAGCGGUUUCCUACUGUCAUUGAGAAAAGUUGAUUAUUCGUACUUUCACAAACAAACAGGCAUCCCAAAGUGUUUGUUAGUCGGCAUAGACAUUCAUAAAAGACGAGCUGUUGACUUCAUGUAAACAUUUGAAUUCGACCAAGGAAUGUCAUAAUCGAACAACCACAAGAUUUCAUUUUUUUUACUCAACGCUGUCAUCCGUGAAACCAGCGACGACUUAAAUUUAUGAUCAGAAGCGCCCAAUAUAAAUAGGACAGCGGACACAAGAGGGUACACAUCCACGUCUAUCACACUGUGAGGCACAACUAUCUCAGGCGAUCGUCAUUAGUAUCUGUGAAAAAAUGCUGCAUGGUUGACAACGGAAACCUAGAUAAUAAUGACUUUCUCCAUGAACUGGAUUUAAUUCGUGUCCUGUUCUCAGCUUUGUUAUCAAUGGGCUGUGCAUAACCUUUGACAGAUAUUAGACAACUCCCAUUUAAUUGCGAUCAUGGCAACAUAAAUUUUUUUGAGGAAUCUUAACUUCAUAAUAUCAUCAGCUAAUUGCCACUGAUCACAGUAUUGUACUUAGUCUACGUUGAUGAUGGUGUGACAAUCCCAGUAACGUUUCUGAGUACUGUAUUCGAAUAAAAUAGGCCUCUUGGAAAGAAAGUAUGUCAAAUGGUAGUCUUUUCUUGACCUAGACAGUUUGGGAAUCUAAGCGAAUGUGGUAGAUAAAAAUAUGAUUUAUGCUUUGCUGAAAUAAUAAGCUAACAUUUGAUGGAUCAUUUAAGUUCCACAUAAUAUCUCUACUUACAUUCAAAUGGUUUCUAUUAUACUUAGCAUAUACCUUCCAACAGUCAUAACCCAAACCAAAAAAUUUUGUUGAGCAAGAAUCAUGAUAUCUGUUCAACCAUCAACAACACUACUAGAUCUUAAUUUGGACAUGACAUAUCCUAAGAACUAAAUAAAUGAACGUAAGUGAGGAAACAUUAAAAUAAUAUCUAUUAUUUAUAUAACCAUUGACGUGACUUAAUCAUUGUAUAAUAAAUCUUGUAAAUUAAAAAUUUAUAAAACUAGAAAAUACCAAUUUUUAGAUUUUUAGAAGUAUGUCAGAAUAAAUAAAUAAAUUAUAACUCAAUAAAAGGUUGCAAACAUAGUGAAAAAUUUCCAAGUCAGUUAUAGGGAUCUAAUAUAAUAUUUUAAAAUUUUCUUAAAAGAAUAUGGCUUUUUGACGAUUUUAAGACUAAAUGAUGAAUAUACAAAAUAUAUUUAAGAAUUCACGAAAAAGGGAAAUAAGAUGUUGAUGUCAAGGUGACAUCAACACCCAACAAACAUGAAUCAAGUAGAAAUAGAGUUCUGUCCAAUGGUUCUUACAUAAGUGAUUACAAUCGAUUUAAUGGGUCAAAUUACAUUCUGUAAAAGCCAGACGAAUUGUAACUUAAUGAUGAAGGGUCUAGAAACUUGAAAUCAUGGAAAGUAUCAUGAAUUUAAAUGAAAAUGAAGUUUAAAAAUAGGAAAAGGAGAGUUCUGGCUUCAUGAUAGUGAUUUUCAAAAUUCUAUGUGUUUAGGAAGAAUUUCAUAUAAUGUCCAUGCCCUCAAAGGCUCUCCUUGAAUAUAGAUGAUGUGGGUAAUUUUUAGAUCUUCUUGAAAAGUAUAGAAAUUAAUGAAAUUAGUCACCAAAUUGUAUAUGGUGAUUAUCACCUAGUGGAGCUGAAAAAUAAUGACUUAUAACUCUUUGGCAGCUGUCAUCUGACAGAGAUGAACUAAAUGAAGGUGGGGCAUGUCUUAGGGGCUUCAUUCUCAUGUCAGAAUAGUAAGAGGAGGCUCUUCAUCAAAUUUGGUAUGUUCUCAGGAGGUGGUGGAUUGUCCCCUAGUGGAUUGUCCUCUUCUUGGAGAUGGUUCAUUCGUCAAUCAGUUAGAGAUGAUUUUUUUGAUGAAUUCAUAAUCUUUUGUGUAGAAUCAUUCAACAAUUUUAGCAACAGUGCCUCAUGUAUUACGUUGACUAUAUUUUUGCUGAUAAAUGAGGGAUUAUGGCAGCUUAACUGCUCAUCAGAAAAUCAUAAUUUUCUCGUCAGGUGCCCAUUUAUGAGAGAGAAAGAGAGAGACUAGAAUAAAUAUGAUAAUACCCUUAAAAAGUGAUGUCAUAAGGGUACUUUCUUCCUAAUGACCAGGGUAUUGUAGGCAUUGAAAUCUUAUGGGGAGGCUAUAAGUGCUGGUUUUGUCCCACAUCGGUUUUGUGUUGAAUUUUGAGAUACAUAAAUGAUAGUGCAAGGUUUGAUGUUCAACGAGUUCCUCUAUCGCAUGUGUAUGACUACUUGCCCCAUUCUCGGCUGGCUACCAAUGACGUGGAAGGGAAGUGAUGCACACAUGUCCCCUACUAGUCCAUCCUUAGCCACUCGAGGCUCUACUCAUGGCUCCACUUUUAGCUACUCGAGCCUCUACUUGCGGCUCUGCCUAACUAUGCCUCUGACCCGAUUGUAGGCUUGGUUAGCUGAAAAUUUCCUCUAGUUUUCUAUCUUUUUCUUUAACUUUUCUUUAUUUAUCUAAAAAAUAAGAUUAUAAAAUUAUAUAAAUUCACAUUAACCAACUAAAAACUACUUCUCACAAUUUAACACAAAUAUAAGUCUAUUUAUCAUGAGUUAAAACUAAAACUAUAAUAUCAAUUAAGUAUUAACUCAUGAUAAUUAAGACUUAUCACAUCCGUCAACUUAAAUCAUUGCUAGUCCUUUAGUAAUAGAAUUACGAAAAUAAAUUAAAAUUGAAAAAUUUCAAACAUCAUAUUUUAAUACAUAAAAAUACAAUUAAAAAUGAUGCACCUCUGAACACUUUGGACUCUUAUACCAAGUAUUUAAGAAUGAUGUCAAGCACUUAAAUGUCUAAACACUCUUUGGAAUAUCAAUCUAGACUUCACUUCUUCUAUUCUCAUCUUUAUCACUUCUUCACUCAUAGAUAUAAUUCACAAGAUGUUCCAGUUAUCAAUAAAUAUCAAACAAUAAUAUUUAUCCUACUUUUCCUUUUUCUAUGACUUGAUUUUUGAAGUUUGCACUAUAUUUUUGCUAUGUUUUUUUGUUUGUAUAUAUGGUGAAUAAGUAACUUUUCUUAUAGAUAAAUUUUAACAAUGAGAAUGAUGUCUUACACCCUCCAUGUGUACUAUUCAUUUCUGGGCUUUCACAUUAUCCACUUAUCUUGUAGCAAGUAUUUUUCUAUAAAUGAUUUUUGACAAUGAGAAUAAUGUCUCACACCCUCUAUGUGUACUCUUCAUUUUUAGAUUUUUUAACAUUACUCCUUAUUUUUUUCUAAUUUUCGAAAUAAGUGAUUUCUCCUCAUAAGUCUUAUAGAUUAGGGUGUAUAAAACUCCAUUAAGCUCAAAUGAUCAAUCAAAUUUUCUCAUCAAGUGAAUAUUUUUCAUCAAGAUCAUGAAGUGAAAAUAUAUAAAAUCAAAUCUAUGUUAUAUAUUAUGUACCCAAGGAGUAUUCCAACAUUUAUUACUACUAAAUCAUUCUUUUCACUCAAUAAUAAUCAUCUAAUAUCUUUUGAUUUCAAUCAAUCUAAUUGAUUCAAUUUUUUCGUGGAUGCAAUAUGAUAUAAGAAAUUAUAUAGUUUUUAUAGUUAUGUAUUUUAUUUUCAGCAACACCGAAUUUGUCAAAAAUAAAUCAAAAGUAUCCUAUUUAUAGUGAUAAUUUCAAAUUUCAGUAAUAUAUGUCUAGGGGCUUGAAAUGUGAGAAAAGGGUCUCUAGAAUUUUGAGUUUCAAACUGCUUUUUUUGUUGUUUUUGACAGUUUGUAAAUUAAUUUCAACUAUUCCUAAUAGAAAACUGGAAAACAAGUGCUAUAGCUUUUCUAAGAUUUUUUGCUUUUUUUAGUUUCUUUUAUAGGUGAGCAUGAAAAAUGCAAACACAUAUUCUUAAUCAUCCUACAACAUAAUUUAAGACUUAAUACUUCAUCACCCCCCAACUUAAAUUUGACACUGUCCCCAAUGACAGAAAAAUUUGAAUAGAAUAUGUGCACAAUAUAGUUUUUAAGUGAAGCAUGCAUAUAUGCAAAGUUAAGCAUCAAAAAUGUUGUGAUAAAAGAUAAAGUUCAGAAAAAUAUCACUUCAACCUUGCUUUUAAUUUACACUUUUUCUUAUACUCCUCUUCCUGCACUUUUUUUCCUUUGGAAACAAAACAAUACAUGAAAAAUAAAUACUACAAAAUUCUAAGAAAACAAAACUAAAAAAAGAAUGAAUUAAAAAGAAAAAAACCAUGGGUUGCCACGCAUGGAGUGAUGAAUUUAAUGUCUCAAACUAGGCACAUUAAUCAUACACUUGAAUUUCUCUUAAUAAUAAAAUUUCUUUUUCUACAUGGCAUUCAUAUUCUAUGUAAUGUUUAAGCCGCUGUCUAUUUACCUUAAAGUUAUGAUCAUUUUAGGAUCUUUAAUUAUUCAACAGCCCUAUGAUCAUAUAUUUCUUCCACCACAUAAGACCCUAUCCAUUUUGAUUUUAAUUUUCCUAGAAAUAAUUUCAGUUUAGAAUCAUAUAAUCAUACUUUUUGUCCAACAUCAAAACUUUUUUUUAAUAUACUUAUUAUGAAAUAUUUUUUUUCUUUAUACAUUCUAUGAUUUUCAUAAGCUUCAUUCCUCAACUCCUCUAAUUCAUGUAGUUGAAAAAUUUUAUACUCACUAGCUGAUUUUUCAUCCAAACAUAAAUUUUUAAUAGCCCAUAAUAUUUUAUGCUCUAUUUCCAUAGGAAGAUGACAUUGUUUCCCAAAAAUGAGAUGCAAUGGGGAGACCUAUAAGAUUUUUUAUAAGAUGUUUUAUUUGUAAAUCAUAGGACAACAAUGAGGAACUACACAUUUGAUCUAUGAACCACAGUUGCUCACUUUUUCCAAUUCGGAGUUGAGGGUUGUGAAACCUAAGUUUUGAAUUGGCCCAUCUGCUGGGUCAUGAGGAGAGGCAGCAAAUCUUCCUCUCCAAUUUCUAUCUUUUCUUUUCUUUGAUUUCAUCCAUGUAGAGAUUCAAAGUGGCCGCCUCAAGGUGCGGAAUGAGCAUGCCAAUGUGCACAAAUUUGUCUCCACCAACAUACACUUUAAUUCCACCAUCACAAGGUCCUGCAUCGAGUCAAACUCAGGAUUCACUUCAUGAGUGCCACUACUGGACACAAUGGAAGUGAACUUGUCAGCAUGAUUUACUCGCCUACAUAGUUGGUUUAUUGCAUUAAGGGACCCCAAACAUCGCAAUGGAGAAGAUCAAAAGAAGCGGAAGACGGAAUGCCAUCACGACUAGGGUAAGAGGCACGGUGAUCUUUACCCAAUUAACAUGACUCAGACACAAACUUAGAAAGAGAAAGCCAUGGUAAUAUUUUGUAAUUUUGAAAAACAAGGGUGGCCUAAAUGACGAUGUCACAAAAGGGAAGUAGUUGUAGAGGCAACAAAGAGAGCUCGGAGGCCAGAAGACUAAUCAUCAAAAAUGAGUUCGUAGACACCCCUGCCCGUUCUCACGGCCCAAACCAAUCCUCCCUCCGGUAUGCAGAUCCUAGAAAAUAUAGUGAAAGGGAAAAAAUAUAAUGGUGUAGAGGAGGGCAUGAGUAAUAGCACUGAUAGACAAUAGGUUUGUAGGAAAACCAAGAAUGUAUAGAACUUGGGUGAGGGUGAGGGAAGAUGAGGUAGAGGUGGUACCAUGACCUUUGAUCGAACAAGUCUGACCAUCGGCAAUGGUAAUAGGAGGAUGAGUUAGGAUAGGUUGAUAUGAGGAGAGGAUAGUGAGGGUGCCUGUCAUGUGAGUGAAAGUCCUUGAAUCAAUAAUCCACGACAUAGAAGAGGAGGCAAGGAGAGCAUGUAUAUCUGACAUAGAGGAGGUUGGAAGUGAGGCAAGAUUGACAGAGGUGGAGACACUGGUACUAUUGGAAUGACGAAGAGCAUCAUAUUCCGUGGAUGUCAAGGUGACAUAUAAGGUCAGUGUAGGGACCUAAGAAGGAGCAAGAGAUGAUGUAGGUAGAGUAGUCAUCACUGGUUGGGCAGAAAGGGGCUUACCAAAUUGCUUCCAACAUUUGGUAGUCAGAUGAUUCUGCUUGCCGUAGUAGGGGCAAGGUGGAAAGGUGUUGCGCCCACGUCCACAAGGACAACAACCAUCAAGAUGAGAUGAUGAAGACACAUCUCGGCCUGAAGGAGUAGCCACUACAAGAGCCGAGGGUGCAAAAGAGGCGCCUAAUGUAGAGAAACUAUGGAGAGGUGUACUAGUGGUCACUCGGAGAGCAGCUGAGAAGAUGGAAGCAAGAUCCGGUACACGAUCCCCAGAAAGAACAAUUCCCCCGUAUCUGAGAAAUAAUGAAUGGAUGAAGAUCACUCAAAUAAAUUUCGGCAUAGAGCUCCUGAUGAUAGUGCUGAAGAGUCAAUAGAUUAAUGGUAGGUGGCUGAUAAAUGUCAACCUCUUGAAUAAGGGCCUGAAGACGACUGUAAUGAGCUUGAAGGGAGAGAUCGCCUUGCUUGUAGGAGAGAAUGGCCACUAAGAGCUCCACCACCUGACUGAUAUUCGUUCAAUUGGCAUACAUAGUCUCUAGAGUGAGCCAGAGGAGACGAGCAAGAGUGAUGUGAGCCAAAGGCUCGGCAAUAGUCGGCUCAAUGCUGUGAAGCAUCUAGGUGAUGACAGUCGAGUCUAGUUGCAACCAAGUCGCAUAAGAAGGAUCUUGUAGGCUAGGGGGAUUUAUCGAGAGGUGAUGGAGAAGACUAUGAGAGCGCAAGAAAAGCUUGAAGCCAGAUGCCCACGAUACAUAAUUCUGGCCAGUGAAAAUAUACGCCAAACAAGUGAGCUAUGCAGUAAUGGAGUGACGAGCCGGAGGAGGCCUAGAUAAAGGUAGAGUAGCCUUCGGAGGCCCAGAUGGCUUGAGAGUGACUUCAAAAGAAGACUCUAUGUGAGGAAAGUUGCCAAGAGGAAGAAGAGGUCGAAGAGGAUGUAAAGAUGGCAACUAGGCCCAAUAAGGUGGUCUAGAGGUGCAAGUGAACCCACCGAAACCAAUUGGGCCACUGUGGUAGCCCACUGGAGCAAGAUGGGCUGCUGGGCAUUCCACCUAUGUGGUUGGGCUGCUGGGCUGGCUGGGCCACUAGGCCGGCUGGGCCACUAGGACGGCUGGGCCACUAGGCUGGCUGGGCCACUAGGAUGGCUGGGUCACUGGGCUGGCUAGGCCACUAGGCUGCUGGACUGUUGGACCACUGGGCUGAUGUGCAGCUGGGCCGGCUGGGCCACUGGGCCGCUGGACCAGUUGGGCUGAUGUGUGGCUGGGCCAGCUGUUGUUGAACCGGCUAGUUCAGUCAGUCGGGGUGUCGAGCGGCUGGGAAAAAAGGAAAAUAAAAACCUAGCCGCCAUGCUGGGGGGGGCGUUGCGCGCUACGUCACCGCAGGAGGAAGGAUUGGCCGUGGUGGCGUAAACCUCGAAGGCGAUGGCGAUGGCGGCGGUGGAAGCAGGCAAUAGCAACGGCGAUGGCAAUGGCGGAAGCAGGCGAUGACGACGGCAACGGCGGAAGCAAACGAUGGCGUUGGCAGAAGCAGGUGACGGCAACAGCGGAAGCAGGCGACAGCAAUAGUGGAAGCAGGCGAGGGGGGAGAGGUACGCCGAGGAUGAGGACAGCAAUAGUGACGACGGUAGAGAAUCACACCGAAACGGUGAUGACGACGGCGGAAGUAGGCGACACCAUGAUAAAAAUAAUAUGACGACAACGUCGACGAGCGGCAUGCUGGAGGAGCAAACGACGACGUCAGAGAAGCAAAACCUUGCUCUGAUACCAUGUUGACAGAGGAGAGAGAACCUAGAAAAUGAAUAAAUUAAGGAGAGAGAGCAUACACAAUGUUUAUAGAGAGAGAGAGGAGAGAGAAUAGAUAAUGGGCCCUUAAUGGGCAGGUGAGCUAUCUAAUAGAUCAAAUUUAUAUGAAGUCAAAUCACUAUAGCUUAUAACUAGAUGGCCGCCAAUCUCCAAGAACCCAUUGGCCAAGUGUGUGUGAGUGUGCUUGAAAUCGGAAGGCAUGUUUGGGCAGGAAUCACCAAUGGUGCCCUUAGAACCGAAGAAGAAAAGAGUGCUCUUUCAUUUACCGAGGAUGCAAAAGCUUUGGAUGCUGCGUGUGAUCUUUUGAACCCACCAGAUGAUCUUCAUCAGCCAAGAGGUCAGGUUGAUUCGUGUUUCAUGGAAAGCGGCAAGUGAGACUGAUUAAAGCCACAACCUGUAGCAAUCCCUGGAGUGAGGCCAACAAGCCAGUAGGCUGUUCGUGGGGAUAGAAAAUAUGCUUAUUGAACAUGAGACGGCUGUCGUGACACUUUAUUUCACUCGAUGUAUUAUGGGGUUCUUUUAGUACACGAUAAGAUCACCAACUCUAAGCCAGCUUUGUGGAUAGCUCACAACGAACAGGAGCACGCUUAGCAUAUUAUGCGGACGCUGUUAAAGAUGUGGAACCAGCAAUAGCGAACGCGCCAGAAGAUGGGAAUGUAGAGGCCGCGGCAGCCCCUGCCGAAGUAGAACAGGCCGACCUGGCCCGCCGUGUAGUUAAAGAAGUAGCCUCCCUUGAAACCUGUGAAGUUGUUGCACCCACAUCCCCAAGUUACGUUGUUCCCAGUGCAGCCCACUGCUGAGUAAGCCGUUAAGCUGCUGGCUGAGGCCGGGGCAACGCCAGCGGCUGCGAUGAGCAACAGAACGGCAGCUGCCGCUGCAACCGAAGUCUUGCAGGAGGUGGCCAUAUCCUUCAGGGGCAAUGGCAGGACCUGAGAAUAUGAGGUUUGGGUCACGUCAGGGGGGACGGCGUCAAGGGGGGGCGGGGAGGGGGUGCUUGUAGCCCUUUGAUGAACUCCUAUUUAUAAGAAGUAGCGCCCCGGCCCUGUCCCGAUCCAUACCAUUUAUAGAAACUAGUUAAUUGAGGCAGACAUAACUAAGUCGCAAGGGUCAACGGAUCAUGUUGUAUACUACGCCAGCAGUAAACAUCAACCUUUUCUAAUCCUAUCACCAAGAAGAUACGAAGCCGACAGGGGGAUUUGAAUGUCUGGCAGGCAUCUCAUUGAAGUCGUUCAUUAUUACGUUCUAAUCCUCACAUCCACUUGUUCCUUUCUAUUUCCUAACGGAUAAUUUCGUAGUCUAAUAUUUUUUCAUUAAUCCUGUUCGGUUUUGACCAUACAAGGUCUGCCACUUCGGCGAUGCUGCGCUGUUCGAAUAGAAGGUGAAGAUUACGCUUGAACGAUGUUCUCAGGCUAGAUAUAUGAGCUGUCAUUGGGGGUGGAAUUCUUCCUUCUCAUUUCUACUUGUGAGAAAGUCUUAUUGAAAAUAUUUACGUCCGCAUCUACUAUUAUGUCGGCAAAACUCGCAUAGAUAAGCUUGAACUGUCAUUGGGGGUAGAAGAACCCGUAUCGAUUGACGAUUGACUUCAUCCUAAUAUUAUAACCCGUUUAAAGAAUACCUUAUUCGAAAUAUCUCGUCAACACCAAUCCGUGAAACGAUUGGCGGCUAUGUACCUCUUACCCUUCACAGUGUGUUACCCGGGGUGGACACCAGCGACAAAAAAUUAUCCAUUCCAUACUUGUACCAGUCACAACAACAUCGUAUCAGGGUAUUCGCAAGGAUAAUUUUUCCCAUGAAACCAUCUACGUCGAUUGGAGGCUGGUGGGAGGAGGGGACCCUUUCUUUACUAUCCUGGAGGCGCAACGUAAUGUUUAGUUAUUUCACUCCUGAGGCGUUGGUGCCCACAAUUGCCAGAAGAUUGUCUUUAUUUUCGGAAAAGAAAUGCUUCACUGUUCAUCAACGUGAAGCCUGAAAUCCCGACGGCAUGGGUUUUAUUCACAUCCUGUUCUCAGAUUUCCUACGACUGGGCUCGACAUAACUUUUCUCCGUUGUAAUUUUAUGCUUCAAGCAGUAGUUACUUCCAAUUUUCUUUUCAAAAGUUAAAGGGUAUAAUGAGAUGAGAGGUAAAUAUUAAGUUAAUGUAUCAAUAAAUCUCCAUUGCAUCUGCAUUUGAUUUUACAGCAUGGCGUUCGAUAGUAGAGAUUUCGAGAAAGAUGCGAGAUUGGAACUUAUCGUAAAAUUGAGUUCUCUCACAAUUCUACGCAAACAUACAGGUAGGGAAGUAAGAAAGUAAAAUAUUAGAAUAAUUCAUUGUUUAUGUUACAAAAUCGCCUAUGGCAUCUUGAGUCAGAAGGCUGUAAACGGUAACACGCUGUGCUCGCAACUCAUCUCAAACUCACCAUCAUAGAUACGUGUUGAAAGUCGUUCAUUAUUACUUUCCUGCCCUGACAUCUACUUGUGUUUUUCUAUUUAGUCACUUGCUGUGAUCUGCUAGAUGUCUGUUCACGUACGAAAAGUUAUCUAGUGUAAGUUUUUGCACUGAUCGUGUUCGGUUUUAACGUUACAAGGUCUGCCCCUUCUGCUAUGCUGAGCUGUGUCCCUGUUCGAAUAUACGAGGAAGAUUGCUCGUAAACGAGCAUCUGAGUCGAGACGUACAAUGAAUGGUGGCCCUGUCCUCGUCUGCACAUAACUAUUUCCUCCUAUUGCUUGGUUUCUAUUUGUGAGAAGUUGCUGUUGAACUAUAUGCCUUCAUAUCUGCCAUUAAGUUUAGAGAGACGUGCACGGAGGAACAAAGCAGCAAUUUCAAUGUGCAUUGAACAACCUGUAUUAAUUGGCUAUUGACUUCAUACUAACAUUAUAACCCGUUUAAAGAAUGCCACAUUGGAAGUAUCUCGUCAACGCCAACCCGUAAAAAGAUUGGCUGCUCGGUGCCAUCCGUGAAACGACAGAUGGUUUGAUACGAGUGGCAAAAAAUUAAUGAAGCCUGUGCCAGUCACAUCUACAUUGUAUCAGGGUAUUCGCAAGGAUUUUUUCCCGUGAAACCAUCUACGUCGAUUGGAGGCGGGCGGAAGGAGACAUUCUACAUUAUCCUGUACGCAUUACCAACUCAGCCGAAACCAUUCCUAAUGUUGAGAUAUUUCGCCCCAGAUGACGUUAUUGGGCACAAUUGCAAGAAGAUCAUCUUUAGCUUUAGAGAAGAAAUGCUUCACUGUUCAUCAACAUGAAGCCUAAAAUCCUGACGGCACGUAUUUUAUUCACAUCAUACUCUCAGAUUCUCUGCUAAUGGCAAAACAUAACUUUUCUCCAUUGUAAUUUUAUGCUCCAACAUGUAGUUACUUCGAAUUCUCAUUUCAAAAGUUGCAGGGUCCGAUGAGAUGAUAGGUAAAUAAUAAGCUAAUGUAUGAAUAGAUCUCCAUUGCACAUUUUUUCGUUUUUACAGCAGUGGCUAUUUAUAGUAAGGUUUUAUAGAAAGUUGCAAGAUUGGAAGAUAACAUUAAUUUCUUUCUUUCACAGUUAUAUCCGAAACGAUAGGUUGGGAAAUAAAUUAAAAUACAAAUCAGAAGAUUCCACUGAUUUGCGUGACCAGAUCGCUUAUGCAAUCUUGAUUCCUAAUGAGAAGUCGCUUAUCUGUAUAACAUUGUGUGGUCUAUAUUUCAUCUCAAGAUCUUUUCUAACUAGCCCCAAGUAAUCACAUGCAAUUAACCCUUUCGUUGAGUGUCUAGCUAUCCUAACAACUGCUCGACUACUCACUUUUUCGUUGUUGAAUUAAAAGAUGUUCGAUUCACAUUAAUAACAUUAGUUCAGGAGAUCAGCUUUAAAGUUAUAGUUCAAGUUGAUCCUUAAAAAUGAAUGUUGAAUUCUGCAUCUCAAAAUUUCUGCUUUUAGACAGUUUUUUAUUUUCGAAUUAGGAGAGAAUCAUAGAAGUUCUAAAGAGACUUCUCACUCCAACACCUAAAUGCAAAUUAGUGAACGGAAAAGAGAGAAAAAUGAGAAAAAUAAACAAUAUGAGCAAAUCUAGGCAAGUUUAGAGCUGUGAUUUAAGUGAAAAAACUCAUUCUUCUAAUAAAGAGACAAAUUCAAGUUUGAUUAAAGUUCAAUAGCCUUUUUAUAUCACCUAAGGUUAAAAGAAAUGAAGUUGCGAAAUUAGUUGUUGUAUAAAACAAAUUUGAAUGAAUAAAUCAAUGACUAGAAAAUCUCACUUUACUAUUUGCCUUUUACCCACAAGACAAAACAAACAAAAAUAAUAAGCUUAAAAUGUAUAUUCAGUUUAAGGAAGAAUAGUUUAGAAGCCCUUUCAUAUACUAUUUCACUAUUUUGCCUGACACCUAGAAUAGAGGAAGGAUGUUAAAAGGGAAGGCUCUAUUACUGUCGUAGUCGCACCAUCAUCGUGUUCAAACCGGUAUAGAGGAAGGAUGCUAUGCUCGCUAUUCUCACAUUGCUACUGCCCUUGGUGUUGGGCCCAAAGUAGUUAGCCCAAUAUCAAAACCCAAAUUCCUCUAAAAACUUGGAAAAAUUUAGAAAAUUUAUAAUUUAUGUUGGAACUUUUCCUCUCCACCUCUCUAUCAAUUAAAAAAAUUCUCAAAGUAACUUCCUUGGAUAUUCAAGCCAUUGCAAAUUAAAUCGUAAUACAAACAUUUGUGAAGAAAAAGGAUGUGGAAAUAGAGUAACUUCAAUAAACUAUAUUCAAAGAUCUAAUUUUUAGUUUCAAUGUAAUCUGAUUAGGUUUGAAAUUAAUUAGUAUGUUAUUUAUUAUUUUUUUGUAUAAUUAACAUAUAAAUGUUCAGUGUAAAAUAUGCCUAUCCUAAAAUAGUAAAAAUGUAGAGCAUUGCAUUUCAAUGAAUUCUUCUAGGUUGUAUUUCCUACCAUUGUCCUUUCAUUGAACCUUCAUCCAUUUAUCUACUUUGCUUUAAACCUUGAUUUUUUUAAACUGUUGAUAUCAUUUCAUUUUAUGCUCCAUUAAAUAAAAAAAACUUUCUUAAAAAGUGGUCGAUGAAAGUAACAAAAGUAUUCAUACAGCAAAUGACAUAAUUAGAGAGGUAAAUAAAACCUAAAUAGGCAUACUGCAUGAUUUCUUUGCUUCUUUGGAUAGAAGUAACGAAUUUAAUUUUUCAUUUUCUGACAAAGAAAACUGAUUGAGGGCUGAAGGUUUUAUGAUUAUGUACUCGAGUAUUUCGCUCUAGUUCAUUACCACAUACACAUUUUGAGGUUCUGUGAUUGGGAUUUUUCUUGAUCCUUUUGUAUGUUUGGCUUAAAUACCUUCUUGCUGUCUUGAGAAAAUUUUAUUCUCCUUUCCAUUGAUUUGGAUUCGAAGUUAUUCCUCUUGUUAUUUAAACCCCCUUGAUCCUAAUCUUUAUGGCUAUAUAUUGCUAGUUAUUUCUUUUGUAUUAAAAAUUUGGUUUCACCUUCUCCAUCGAAGUGUCUUGAUCGCUUAAGAUGAUGGUCAAUGAGUGGCAAUAAGGUGGUGGUAAGAAAGAGAAAAGAGGUUCUUGAACUUCUUCCUCAACUCUAGCCUUUGGGCUUUAAAGUUAUUUGAUGAAUUUACUAAACACAUGUCUCUACUGAUGAACCAAAAAUUAUCAUUAGGAUUAAUGGUUAAUCAAAUAAUAUUUGUAUAUUGAACUUUAAUUCAAAGGAAAUGAAUAUAGGGUGAGUCCAAGUCGAUCCACAAGGAAGCGAGAAAUCAAACAUCGAAUUGUAAUAAAAUAUAAGUGGAUAUUCAAUAAAUGUUUAAGAAGACUUCAAGAGAGAUAUUUGUGGUUAUUCUAUAAAAGAAAUUGAAGCAUAAAAAGAAAGACAUAAACUGAACUUAAAUGUUGAAAUGUAAAUUACUUGAAAGUAAAUCUCCUUUAUGGCCAAUUAGUUCUCCCCACCUUGCGUCACUUCAAGAUGAGAAGAGCUUGGUGGCUGAAAGGGGGUGAGAAGAAGCAAAGAGAGAGGAGAUCAAAGCUCCCAAUUCUUGAAAUUCCUAACCCCUUGUCACUAAUGGGGAAGAGG